UUGACAAUCCUUUUAUGUUUUUUAAUUAUUAAUGUUUUUGUAUGUAUAUGGUAAAGAUUGAAUUUAUCAUAUAAUAAUUUUAAUUAUGUUUAAACAAUUAGUUAUUAUUAACUAAUAUAAUAAUAUUCGUAUUGCGAUAUUAAGACUUUUAUAAACUUAUCGUAAUUAAUAUAACAUUGGGUGUUUAUAUAUAUAUAAAAGGCAGAGUCUACUGAUGUGAUGUGCUAAGGGUAACUAAGAGUCAUGCGUGGUGACACGUUACCCUCUUAGGGGUUACACGUAUCCUCAAAUACUCUCCAAAUGAUAUAGGCGAACUGGGGCGAGCAAGACCAUGGCUAACUGAACUAUACCUCACGGACUAGGUAAGUGGUAAGCACAAAUGUCUUUGAUAGGAAAACUAGGGAAUAAGCGAGGGGUCAAAUAUCGAGUUAGAUAUAUAUAUGGCGUGCUAUAUAUUCCUUAUAUAACACAUAGUAUUUUUUGUAUAAAAAAGUUGAUACAGUAACUAAAAUAUACUUUAAAAAAAGUUGUUUUGGCCAAUAAGUAUUGUUGCAAUGGUAAGACACAUUGAAUUUUUAAGGGGAGACAAAUGUUUAAACCUUGAAGAAGACAUUGUUCGGAAGAACAACUACGAACCCUAAAUAUAGAUUGUAAAAUGGACCUGAAUAAGACAAAAAAAAAUUGGAAUUGCAUGUUGAAAAAAAGGGGAAAUCUAUAAUAAGCAAAACACCAUUGGUGUAAAGCUAAACAACUUGCAAUGCAUGGUGCAAAAUACUAACGUGAAAACCGUAAAUAAAUAAUUAAGUAAAAACUACGUUCCUCCGUUAAAAAAAAAACAAAAAACAGAAGUAUUCUAUAAUAAGAACAAUAAACAUAGAUGAGAAAUAAGUUAAAUAUUUCAUCAAAUUCAACAUUUGAAAACAAAAACAAAACAAAAUGGCAAUAUCAAAGCUAUUGCUUGUGUUUUUCUCUCUUGUGUUCUUCAACCUUUCAUUUUCAUGGGCAGCUUCGGAUCCUACAUAUCAAUCCCUUCUUCAAUGCUUGAGUGAAAUCAUUCCCUCCCCUAAUGUAUCCGCCGUUAUCGUCUCUAACAACAAUCCUUCCUUUGCAUCCAUUUUGGAAUCACGUAUCCAUAACGCUCGAUUCAAUAGGACUUCGACGCUUAAACCGGCUAUCAUCAUUACUCCAUCGGACGAAUCCCAUGUUUCAGCAGCGGUAAUAUGUUCCCAAAAGGUUGGUUUCCAGCUCAAAAUCCGUAGCGGCGGACAUGAUUACGAAGCGUUAUCUUAUACUUCCGAUAAACCCUUUUUUCUCCUCGACAUGUAUAAUCUUCGGGACGUAUCUAUCGAUAUACCAGACGAGUCAGCCUGGGUUCAAACUGGUGCGACACUCGGUGAACUUUAUUAUCAUAUAUGGGAAAAGAGUAAUGUCCAUGGAUUUCCUGCCGGGGUUUGUCCUACGGUUGGUGUCGGUGGACAUAUCGGUGGUGCCGGUUACGGUACCAUGAUAAGAAAAUAUGGUUUAACAACAGAUUAUGUUAUUGAUGCCAAGAUAGUUAACGUCAACGGAAAAAUUCUAGACCGAAAAGCCAUGGGAGAGGAUCUUUUUUGGGCUAUAAGAGGCGCAGGUGGAGCCAACUUCGGCGUUGUUACAGCUUAUAAGAUUAAACUCGUUAAAGUACCAGAAAAGGUCACUGUUUUCAGAGUCGAACGAUUCUUAGACGAUAAUGGCACCGAAGUUGCCUUCAAAUGGCAAACCGUCGGCGCCACAACCGAUCCAAAUCUCUUCACGAGAAUGCUUUUACAACCCAAUACGAAAGACAAGCAAACAACGGUGAAAGUGACGGUCAUGGGACUGUAUUUAGGUGACAUCAAUGGCCUUUUAACCUUAUUGAACAAAGAUUUCCCUGAACUACGUUUAAACAAAGAGAAUUGCACUGAGAUGCCGUGGAUUGACUCAGUUCUUUGGUGGGCAAAUUUCGAUUUAGGUACACCACCAAACGUAUUGUUGGAUCGAAACAAUAAAGACACUAAAUUCGUGAAAAGGAAAUCAGAUUAUGUUCAAACACCGAUACCUAAAGAUGGGUUGGAAUCAUUAUGGCAAAAGAUGGUUCAAAAUGAAAAAGUGGGAUUGACUUGUAAUUCAUACGGUGGUAAAAUGGAUGAAAUCGAUACUAAAGAGAGUGCAUUCCCCCAUCGGAAAGGGAAUUUGUAUAAGAUACAAUACUCUAUAAAUUGGGAUGAUCCUAGUAAUGAAGCUGAUAUUAAGUACACGACUCAAGCCAAAGCGGUUCACGAGUUUAUGACUCAGUUCGUGUCCAAGAAUCCAAGGAGGGCUUAUUUGAAUUACAGGGACAUUGAUAUUGGUUCUGCUAAGACUUGGAGCUAUGAAGAAGGUAAAGUGUAUGGUGAGAGUUAUUUUGCCGAAAAUUUUGAUAGGCUGGUCGACGUGAAGACCGCUGUUGAUCCGAACAACUUCUUUAGGAACGAGCAAAGCAUCCCUCCUCGCUCCACUAAAACGGCUUAGGAUUGGUUUAGCAUUGUCUUUUCAUCAUCUCAAAGCACUUUCUAGAAAUAAAAGUAUUGUGAUUUUGAGGUUCUUUUCGACGGUAAGAGCAAUAUUGAAAUAGCUUUUAAAAUACGGAAAAAAAAGAAUUUAUUAUAUAAAUUUCAAAAUUAUUAAUGUUUGUAAAUGUUUUGUAAUUUACUAUUAAUAUAGUUAAUAAUAUACGAUCAUUUUAAAUUUACAUAUUGCAUACUCAAAUUAUUAUAUUUAUCUAAUAUAUAAAUAAAUCGAUUAAAAUCAAUAUUUCAUAUGUUCAUUUGAAUUACAAUUAAAUUACAUGUGUAUAAUUACACCAAAUCAAAAUUUAUAUAUAAAAUUACACAUUAGAUAAAAAUUCAUGUGUAAUUUUGAAAUAUACCCCUAAUUAAUUUGUGUUCAUAUUUAUUUCCUAAUUGUUUUGAAUAAUAUUAUGAAUUUUUAUCUUAAUAUUGUUCACUUAUGGACAUAUGUACUGCUCAUAGUCCAUUAUAUACAAACUUUUACUUAUAUUUUUUUAUCAUCCUUAGCUAGACAAUGUUCUUAUAUAAAAAGUUUAACUAAUACAAUUUAUCAAAAUAAAUUAUAUUUGAGAAUUUAUAAAAAAAUUAAAAAUUAAUUGAGAAUUUUAAAUAAGGUUUAAAAUUUCCAAUUUGAAAUCUAUUUUAUAUAGUAGUUAAGUAUUUUAUAUUUGAAAUUAAUUAAUUUUAUUUAUUUUAUAUUUGUAAAUAUAUUUAUAUAUAUUAAUUUUUUUCUAAAUAUAUAUAGUGAUAAAUCUAAAACGACACAUCAAAAUAGACCAAUACCAAUAUGUAUCAAUACUAGUAAAAAUCAUACCUCUACUCAUAGAGUACUAAAUACUUUAAUUACUUCAGGUUUUAUUUAUUUAUUUUAAAUAAAUAUCAAAACUAUACAUAAAUUUUGAUUCAAUGUGCAACGACUUUGAUUUUGUGCGAUUUUAUACAUGAAAUCUUAAUUUUGAUUCAAUUUUGAAAUUUUACUAACAUUAUCGAAUUAGUAACAUUUUCUGUUGGAUAUUACAUAUACAAACAAUAUAUUAAUCUAAUAUGAAAAUAAAUGUAUAUAUUUGUUUCUUUAAAUAUGUAAAUAUGUACAAUUCAACCAAAAUCAAAGUUUCAUGUAUACAUAUGAGCGACAAUACAAAUUUCAUGUAUAUAAUUGCACCAAAUGAAAAUUUAUGCAUUGAAUUACACAUUAAAACAAAAUAUAUGUUCAAAUUUGACAAUUAUCCCAAUUUUUUUUAUGAAAUAGAUUGAAGCAAAUAAGAUAUUUCCCCAUCAUCCCUCCCCAGACUUUUCUUCUUCUUCUUCUUCUUCUUUUCUGUUUUUUCUACCAAUAAGAGUUGACUUUUUUUUCCAAUAUUACAACUACUAAAAUCAAUACAUAUACCUAAUUCUCACUUAAUUUGCAGCUUUUUUUGAGUAUUCAACCUUAAUAAUAAAUAAAAGUAUUAGAAGAUAUUGGAAAAUGUGCAAUUAUAUUUUGGGUUAAUUAAGGAAAUUUUUUUGAAAAGAAAUGGAUUUUAUAUUUAAUUUAUAUAAGUUUGAUUUUAUGAGGCAUGAAUUUAACAAAUUAAUUUAUCAUUUUGAAUCAAAUAUAUUAUUCUCAUAAUUUGUUUUAGAAAAAAAUAAUAAUAAUACACUAAUUAAAAUAUUUUUCAAAAAAUGUGUUGUUCCAUCCGAGAAAGAAAUAUCUAUAAUAAGCAAAAAAAAAAAAUCCUUGAUAAGAUAUGGCUUAAAUUUAGAAAAAUCAAAAUACACUUUCUUUUUUCUAAGUAAAUUAAUUACGAUGCAUAUGAAAAGAUAUGGUCAAAUAAUAUCAUUAGUAUUUACAUAAAUAUAAAGGAUUAAUUUUGAUUUUAAUCCCUCAACUUUAAUUUGAUACAAUUUGAUUCUACUUUUAUAAUGUUAUUAGUAUUUAGUAGGUCCGAAUUGGUAAUAUCAUUAAUUACUGUCAUUGAAUAUAGAAUUUUUAAAAAAAAAACUUUAUACAUCCAACUAACAUGUAAAUUUAUUAUUGGUUGAAUAUGAUUGACUAAAUUUUUCUGCAUGCCAGUAACUAUAUACACGAAUAACAAUUAAAAAAACCAACCUCGUUACUUGAACAACAACAAGUAAUGGUGUUAUCAAUUUGAAACUAAUAUUAAUAUUAUUGUCGAGGGAUUUCUGACUCCUUGAGGAGAAGUCAGUAAAGUAUCAUUUGACCCCUCAACAAGUACGGUAUUCUUUCGUAGGAGUUUUGUUUCCCCGCUCUAUUAAAAACCCGAAUGCUUAAAGUAGCGAUUGAUUUGCAAAGCAAAAGCACUCGUUAGGUGCCUAACCAUUGGAACAAUACCAAACUUCCUCUGCUUCAAUCAGAUGACACUUGUAAAAGCAAAUGAACUAAAUCAUAUCAAAUUAAAAUAGAAGAAUUAAAUCCCAAAAAAUUCAGCAUAACAGAAGGACUAAAACCAAAAUAGACCACAUAUAUAAUACUACGUGCCGAUUUGGCUAAGAAACAAAAGAUAAGAAAAGUAGUUUAUUAUGUCACACGGUUUUUCAUUUUCUGUCUGAAUAAUUUUCCACCAUGUAAUGUCUUGUCUUUGACUUUGUUGAUAGUCAAGGCCGCGUAUAUUUAAAAACCAUUGCACACUGGAGAAAGGAUCAACCUUAUAAAUAUCCCAUUCAUCAUCUACAUAUAUUACAACACCAUACCAUUAACACAAAACAAAGCACACGACAAUGUCAAAUUCAAUGGCGAUUUCACUUCUAUUUUCUCUUCUUUUCCUCAACAUUUCCAUUUCAUCCGCAGCCUCCAACCCUACUUACCAAUCGCUUCUCCAAUGCUUAAGCCAAUCCAUUAAUCCUUCCCAAAAUGUUUCCACCAUUCUCUUCUCCAACACCAACCCUUCUUACGCAUCAGUUUUGCAAGCGUACAUUCGUAACGCUCGGUUCAACACCUCUUCGACGCCUAAACCGAUCAUCAUCAUCACUCCAUUGGAAGAAUCCCAUGUUUCCGCAGCCGUAAUCUGUUCUCAGAAAGUCGGUUUUCAGCUCAAAAUUCGUAGCGGCGGUCAUGAUUACGAAGGGUUAUCUUAUGUUUCCGAUAAACCCUUCUUUGUACUCGACAUGUUUAACCUUCGGUCUAUAUCUAUCGAUAUGACGGACGAGUCUGCUUGGGUUGAAACCGGUGCGACACUCGGUGAACUUUAUUAUAAUAUAUGGGAAAAGAGCAACGUCCAUGGAUUUCCGGCUGGGUUAUGUCCUACCGUCGGCGUUGGUGGCCACCUUAGCGGAGCCGGUUACGGUACUUUGAUGAGGAAAUACGGUUUAUCUUCGGACUAUAUCGUCGAUGCUAAGAUAGUUAAUGUCGACGGUAAAAUUCUAGACCGUAAAGCCAUGGGAGAGGAUCUUUUUUGGGCUAUAAGAGGCGGUGGAGCAGCCAGUUUUGGUGUCGUUUUAGCUUAUAAAGUUAAACUAGUUCGUGUACCGGAAACGGUCACCGUUUUCAGACUCGAAAGAUUAUUAGCUGAUAACGCUACUGACAUUGCUUUAAAAUGGCAAUCCAUUGCUCCGACGACCGAUGAAAAUCUCUUCACGAGAAUGCUGUUGCAGCCGGUUACAAGAAACCGGCAAAGGACGAUGAGAGUGACGGUGAUCGGACAGUAUUUAGGGAACGCCGACGGUGUCGUAGCUUUAUUAAGCAAAGAUUUCCCUGAGUUAGGUUUAAAAAACGAGAACUGCACAGAGAUGACAUGGAUUGACUCAGUUCUUUGGUGGGCAAAUUUCGAUGCCGGAACACCACCGACAGCUUUGCUUGACCGGAACGUUAACGACGCCGAUUUCUUAAAGAGGAAAUCGGAUUACGUUCAGACUCCGAUUUCCAAAAAUGGGUUGGAAUCAUUAUGGCAAAAGAUGGUCGAAUUAGGAAACGUGGGAUUAGCAUGCAACGCAUACGGUGGAAGAAUGGACGAAAUCGACGAUAAAGAAACACCGUUCCCACAUCGGAAAGGGAAUUUGUAUAAGAUACAGUACUCAGUGAACUGGAACGAGCCGGGGAAUGAAACGGAGAUGAAUCGGACAAGUCAAGCGAAAGCACUUCACGAGUUCAUGACUCAGUUCGUGUCGAAGAACCCAAGGAGAGCUUACUUGAAUUAUAGGGACAUUGACAUUGGUGUGGCAGAAAAUUGGAGCUAUGAAGAAGGUAAAGUAUAUGGGGAGAGUUAUUUCGCCGGAAAUUAUGAGAGGUUGGUCGACGUGAAAACCGCCGUCGAUCCUAACAACUUUUUCAGAAAUGAACAAAGCAUUCCUCCUCGUACUAAGUGAGACCAAAUAAUAGAAGAAAGAUAUAUAGAUGUAGUUUAUUAAUAUACUUUCGAGUUCCUUUCUUUUCUUCUUCUUUUUUCAUUAAAUUCUGUUAUCAGUUCUUCUAAUUUGAAAAAAUUAUAAAUUUAGUUUCUGUAUUUUAAUUUGAUCAAUUUUCUUAAUUUUGAAAUUUUAGUCUUGAACUAAAUAAUAAUAGUUAAAUCUUUUUGUUUAAAUUCAAUUGCUAGCUAGUCUUGUCUCCUACAGUUGUAGAAUUAGUUCCUAUUUUCCAAUUUUAUCAUUUUAAAUCUCUAUACUUUUAGAUUUUUUAAAUUUUAAUUUUAACACAAAUGACAAUAAUUAAUCCAUUAAUUAGACUUUUUGUAAGUAAUAUAUGAAAAUAAUAAGAUGAUGUGGCAUUACACAUUUGGCAAUAUAUUUGCCAUAUUAAAUUUUAAAAGUAACAAAACUUAAUUUAAUGAAUUUAACAAGUAUCGUGAAGACUGAAAUUUUAAAAUUUUAAAAAAUACAAAGACUAAAAAUAAUCAAAUUAAAUUAUAAGGAUUAAAUUCAUAAUAAUAAUGGUAUUUAUCCUUUCUAUUUUGCAUCUUGUUUUUAUGUAAUUUUAGUAAGUAAGGUAAUGCUACCUUAAGUAAGUGAAUUUAAAAAUAAGGAAUUUUAUUUUUGCUGCAAACUAGUAACUGUGAUAAUUUUUAAAAUUAAUAUAAUAACAAUUUUAGUCUUCAAUAUUUAUAAAUUAUAUCAAUUUAUGUUUAAUUUUUAAAUAAUUUAACCGUCAACAUUUACGCAUAGUAUAAUUUGGUCUUCUUUUUUUUCUUUUGAAAUUUUACUUUUCUUUGACAUUGAGGGUUAAAUUUAAAACAAUGAAAAAAUAUGAAAAUUAUUAUAUAAGAUUUUUUAGUGUUUCUAUUUUUGUAUAUUUUCAAUUAAAUUUAGCUGAUAAUUAUUUUUAGCUUUUCAUGUGAAAGGAUUAUAAAAAAAAAGUAAAAUUACAAAAAAGAUGAAAUUAUACAAUAUGUAAACGCUAAAAAUUAAUUUUUUUUUUGAAUCAAAACUAAAUUAACAUAAUAUAUAAAUGUUAAAGGUUAAAAUUACUAUUAUACCAAUUUUAAAAACUCCCACCAUGAAUUAACCUACGAAAAUAAUAAUAAUAAAAUAACAAAAUAAUGAUUUAUAAUUUUUAUAAAAAAUAAUAAUUAAAUCAUUAAACCUACACCACCAAAAUUUGUGGUUGUGCAUGGUUUGAAAAUUACGCAUUAAAAUGGUCAAUUAUUAAAUUUAAUGUUACAAAAAAGUCAGAUAUUGGAGUUUCAUAUAUAUAUAUACUGGACUAAUAAACAAUAAGUACUUGUCCUACUACUACUCAGGUGUCAAGCUUUACUAUUCUUGUAAUUCAACUUCUGGAAUUGUGGAUAAUUGCAUUGCAUUUGGACUUGUUUUCAGCUAUUAAAUCCAUUAAUUUUCCACUUCCCCAUGUCUUAAUUUUGAUACAAGAAAAGUCUUCCUUUCUUCUAUUUCUAUCUAUUUUUUCGUUUUCGGUAUAGAGUAAUUUUAAAAUUUUAUAAAUUUAUAGAAUAUGAAAAAUUAUUUACUAGGCUUAUUCCGAUAAAUACUCUGGAUAGAAAAAAUUUAAUUAGAAAAUAUUAACCAAAAAUAAGUUAAUUAUAUAGAUAUAAAAUAUGAAAAAAUAAUUAUUAGAUUUACUUCAAUAAAUAGAAAAAUCUUAACUAAAAAAUAAUAGCAAAAAAUAAGUUAAUUAUAUAGGCAUAAAAGAAUUUAUAUUUGAUGCACACGUUGGAGAUUUUAUCUUUUUAUAAGUUUUACUUGACUUUCUUUUUUGAUUGAGCACACACCUUUUAGAAUUCAAUAAUGUUAUUAGCAAUCAUUUGCUAGUAGUGUUUUUGAAAAAGGGUAAAAUUUAUUUGAAAAAAAAUUAGUAUUUGGGUCAAAAGGAAAAAAGAUUAUUAAAAAAAAGCACAUUAGAGUAUAAUUGGAAAUUAAUGCAAGAUGUGAUAUUAAUGUAGCUUUGCAAAAGGGAAAGGGAAAAAAAUACCUACAUAUUCAUUGACAUAAUAUUUACGUAGGAAUCUUACUUUUUUCUCCUACAGAAAAUAUGGGUUAAUGUGAAAUGCCAUAAACGGAAAGUUAAUUAAGUUAUUUUCUAAAAUUAUCCUCAAAUUGUAAUUAGAUUUUGGUGUAAUUAUUUGUAAUGAUUAAUAGAUCUCAAUGUAAUUAUUUGUAAAUACAUGUAUAUCACAUGUUAAGAUAAUCAUUGUGUGGAGUAGAUACAAAUAGAGAGCGAUGUUGUGAUGAUGAGUCAUGCUACGUUGCAACGACGAAACAAGGGAGAAGUAGGAAUGACGUCGCGAUGACAUGAUAGGAAACGUGACAACGUGUCAUGCAAUUUUUUCAGUUUUCUUCUUUCAAUCAAUGAUUAGUGUAGAUUAUACUAAGAUUAUUUGACCUACAAAUUUAGUCUAUAAAUAGGUCAUUUUCUACCCUAGAAAAUUUAACUCAUAACACAUUUAGGUAUUAGCUUUUAUAAGUUUUCAGAAAAUUUUGUGUUUCAGUUUUGAGAGUUUUGUUUUUGGGGUUUAAUUUUUAUCUCUAUCUUUGUACUCUUUGUUUAUGCCGAUUUAGUGAAAUUAUAUUUACCCGUGAUUUUUUUAUAUAUCCUUUUCGAAGAAGUUUUUUCACGUAAAAAUUUAUACGUACGAUCUUUUUAAUUUCUUUGUUAUUUUACUUAUUCGUUACUUACAUGAAUUUAUCUCCAACUCAUUGUAAUUAAUAGGCUUCAUUGAAUUGAGUGCUCCGAUUUUGUAGAAGGAUGAUAACCGAAUGAGAUAUAUAAGUACUUAACCAUGAUGACUUUUUAAAAAUAAAUUUUUUUAUUCCUUUUUAAGAUGUAAUUAUACUCGGCAAGAUCAACAUGUCUAUGAAAUUAUAUACUUUUUAUAAUUACAAAAUAGUGUAGUUACUACUCUAAUAAUUUAUUAAUAAAUUCAUAAUUAAAUGUGAAAUUAAAUAUGAAAAAUAAAGUGACUAAUUACAACAAUGUAAUUACUACAUUAAUAAAGGGACUACUUCUUGGAGGGAUGAAAUUCAUAGUUAGACCAAAUAAUUAUUAUUAAGAUUUCAUUUCACACAUAUGUUUCUUACUGUUGAUUUAUGGUGAUUUCAUUGCCCGACAAUGAGACUAACAUACUUUACAAAAAUUGAGUAGGUAAUCACGAGAAGUAAAUUAUGAUAAAUUAAAGUAAAUGGACCAUAUUUUAAGAAGUUAGUGCCCUUACUUUAAUUUGUCUGAUCUUUUUAUUUUACGAAAAUUGAGAAAUUAAUUUAAUUGAGCAAUAUUAAAAUAUUAGAAUUAUGAAAUUCUAUAUAAAAUUUAAUAAAUCGGGAUUUGUCAUAUCAGAUCAUCAAGAACUAAAAUUAGACGUGGAAGUGUGCCUGAAUCUAUUCAUAUCUUGAAAUCUUCGAUUCUUGUGGUUUUUUUUUUAUCUUCUAGAUUAACACAUAAAUAUUUUAGAGAGGAUGGCUCCCUCUUUUCUAAAGAUGUGAAGCACUUAGAAAAGUUAUCUAUAUGUAAUUUGUAGACCAUAAUACUAAUUAUAACUUUUGUACAUUAACCUUAAUUUCUAUUAACCCAUCAUCAAUUAGAAAUUAGUUACUAAAUUAACUGCAUAUAUUGGAUCCAUACGUUAUUUAAUAAUCAAAGUUCAAUAAACAUUAACCAAAUUAAAUCACUUUUAAUUUGGGCAAAUAUUUUAUGAUAACCCUUUAUGACAGUAAAAUAUCAUGUAAGUAUUUUUAUUAUAUGUAUGUGAUGUCCACAUUAUCCAACAUAUUAAAUAUUCUCGUCAGAUUACAAACCUAUAAAUCAAUAAUUCAACAAUUUAUAUACAAAAAUAUAGUAAAAAUCAACUAUUCUACAAUGUAUAUGCAACAAAUUAGCAAAGAUAGCGAUUCUAAUUCAUGCAAUUACCAGCAAUCGGAUUAACUUCUCAGUGUUCGUAAAGUGUAAAGACAAAAUUUCGAUAAAUUAAAAUAGUUUGACUAACAUCUCCAUCGUUGCAUAGUAGAAAGGGAUAAAUAUCAAAAUUAUACAUGAAUUUUGUUUUUAUACAAUUUUAUAUAUGAAAUUUUGAUUUGAUCCAAUUCUCACAAAUUAUUAACAUAAUUAUUGAUAUAACAUCCUUUUAUGUUUAUAUAUUGCAUACACAAAUAAUUAUAUUUAUCCAAUAAAAAAAUAAGCUGAUGUAUUUAUUUCUUUAAAUUAACAUGAUUGCAUCAAAAUUUAAAGUUUCAUUUACGCAUUUGAACCAUAAUCAAAAUUUCAUGCAUAUAAUUAUACCAAAUCAAAAUUUAUAAAUCAAAUUACACGCUGAAACAAAAUUUAUACAUAAUUUAAGAUUUAUUCCCAAUAGAAAAUGAAAUCCAUGAUGAGAUUUUUUUUUAUUUUUUAGUGAAUUAUAAGAGAAGGGCAAAACUCUAACAGCAACACGACUAGCGCGACUCGAGUCCAAGCAACACCUGGAAUAAUAAACACCUUGACUAUCAAACUGAUACUCGAGUUCAGAUUUAUUUGAUUUUAAUUACCAUAUAUGAGAAACUUCACAUGGCAAAGGCAUAAAUUUGGAAAAAAAGAUAGAAAUAUAGGUUGGGUUACUACAAGUCCAAACCUAUUGUAAUUGGUAUUUGUUUGUAGUGGAAGAAACAGAAUAGGAUUCCUUCAAAGGAAAACAGAUGUGGUUCCUUUCAAUGCCCCAUUUAUUAUAAAAAAGCAUAAGCAGAAGCAUACUUGCCUUCCCUUUAUGAACAAAUGUUACCAAAUUCAUCACAAAUAAUUAUUAUAAUAAACGGUCUAAUUGUGUUUUAGUCCCUCUAUUAUAUUGAAAGAUAUGAUUUCAUUUUCUUACUUUAAUUUGACAUAAUCUAGCCUUUCUACUCUUAUAAUUUGAUAACACCGUCUAAGUUGAAAUUUAGUUGAUGUGGAAAUUUAUUAUCGGCUAAACAUAGUUUAUUGGAUUUUCAAGUAACUUUGAUUAUGUGAUUGAAUAAUAAUGAAAAGAAAACUCUUGUCAUCACUUUAACAACAACUAUUAAAAGGUGUUAUCAAUUUAGAUCUACUAAUAAUAUUAUAAAAAGUAAAGGACCAAAUUAUGCUAAAUCAAAAUUAAGAGAUUAGGCCCGAAAUUUUAUUAGAAUAGAAGGAUAAGUAUCAUAAUUAGACCUAAUAAAAAAUAAUAUAGAAUUUGCUUGGCGUGGCGUAUAAGUGGAUCGGUGAAAGCUUUUGGCAAAUUGGAGGGUGGAAAUAGUUUCUUCAAGUAAUAACAUGAUUUUUUUUUUUUUUAAAGAUUUGACAUCAAUUUUUUCCAUCUAUCUUUAUUUAUUUAAUCUUAAGUAUUUUUCUAGUGAAUUAAAAAGAAAAAUGUUAGACCAACUAUGCUAAAGAUGGAGAUAUCAAUUUAAUUCGAAAAGGUCGAGAUUAUUUAAAGGAGUGCGACGUAGUUAUCCAACAUAUUUACAGAGAGAAUAAUAAACUUGCUGAUGGUCUAACACUGAUGGCUUCGGGGUAAAUACUACAAAGUGUUUUCUAUUACUCUCUUCCAAUGACGCUUCUUGAUCAACUUGGUACUGAUAAUAUUACUGUUAUAUCACCAAAAAAUUGGAUCUAUUUAAUUUACUUCUUCCUGUAUGAUAAAAAUUUUGGAUAAUAAAUGAAUAAGAAGGGGUUUUCAUUAAAUUAAAGAGAAUAUUAGGUAAGCUUGACGUUGUGCAUAACUAAGCAAUAAAUAUUAUUUAUAAUGAAAAUAAAAUUUAUUUAUUUUUCCCAUGCAUUGACAGUAAAAAAAAAAAAAAAAGGGUUUAGACCCAUCAAUCGGUAUCAAAUUCUAAAUGGGAUUAUAGCUUUUUGAUAAAUAAAUAAAAAAAUUGAAAAGAAUGAAGAUUGAUUAGUAUUUUUAAUUAAGUGACAAAAUUUAAUUAAGGAUGGGAUGGGAUGGGAUGGGUAAAAUAAUUUUAUAAAGGCUUGUCCCCUGAAUUUGGUAUUUUUUUUUAUGUUGGCCUCUAAAAUUUUUUUUAUCAUAUUAGUCUUCAAGGUUGAUAUUUGUUAUACAAAUUAGUCCCUAUAUUAAUGCGGUUUUUUUUUUUAAGAAUUUGAUUAUGUGAAUAAGUAUAGAGGUGACACGAGGAGAAAUAAGCGAACAAUUAGUGGAUUCAUCUUUAAUCAUUCUUAAAUUCAAGAAAAGAAUUGAAUAAAAAUAGAAAAUUUUUAAAUUUUUAAGAGAUAUUAUAAAUUAUAAAAAAAUUGAAUAUAUAAAAAUAAAUUAUGAAAAUAAAAAAUUUACAUUAAAAUUUAAUAUUUAAAAACUUACUAUUUAAAUACUCAACUUUAAAAAAAUAAAUAAUAAAAAUAAUUUUUUUAAAAUCUAAAAAAAAUACAAAAAAGUAUUAGAAAUUUAUAAAAGAUGAAAACAAUAAUGAAAAAUUGAUCAAGCGUUGACUGAGUUUGACUAGCAUUAACCGAUGUUGAUAUAGAGUUGACUAACGUCAACCGGUCAAUUUUUAAAAAAAUAUUUUAAAAUAUUUUAAAUUUUUACAAUUUAUUAUAAUUUUCUAAAAAAUAAUAACCAAAUUUAUUUAUAAUUUAUUUUUAAACAUAUUUUUUUUAAAACUUGUUUGAAUUUUAACUAAAUUUGUUAUUUUUAUUUUAAAUUUAUAUAUAUAUAUAUUCUUUUUUUGAAAUUUUCUAAUUUAUAUAUUUCGUGUUUUUUUUUAAAUUUUUAAGGUUUUUCUAAAAAUUUAAAAAUUAUUAUAGAUGAAUCCACCUAUGAAUCCAAUAAGUGUCCACGUCACAAAUUCUUAAAAAAAAGCAAACGAUGUUAUUAUAGGAAUUAAUAAAUGUAAGGAAUGCCAACCUAAAGAAAAAGAUUGUCAAAAUUAAAAGAUUGAAUCUAUAUAUUAACACUUUUAUAAAAAAUGUGCACAACAAAAAGUAGUGUUGAAUUUGGCAAUUAAGAUAAGACUUAUAGAAAAGCAAAACUUGUAAGAAAAGAACACAAAUAAAUAUAGACCCAGAAAUGGUGUCCCAUCAUCAGUCAUUUUCUAAUAAUAUACACUUGACUAAUACUUUUUCUUAGUCAUUUUUUUAAUUAAAAUUCAAAUUUGAGUUGAAUUAAAUUUUUAAUUAAAUUUUUUUUUUAAUUUUAUUUUUCACAUUUAUAAAAUUUUAAUUUGAGAUUUACUUACUAAGAUUUCAAGCUGUUUAUCAUUUGAAUCUAUUUAUGGUUACAAUUUAAGUUCAUGAACAUUGAAUUUCCUUUAUUUUCUGUUCACAAUAGUUUUAGAAUUUAGUUUUUUUUUUUAAUUUAAUCUAUAAACUUGAAUUUUGUUAAAAUAUGAUGAUAUGUCACUUUGAAAUUAUAUUACGUUAUUAUCUAAAUUUUAUUUUUAUAUUUUAAAUUUUUUUAUAAAUUUGUAACAUCACAUUUUAACAGAAUGCAAAUUUAGAGAUCAAAUUAAAAAAAUGUUAAAUUUUAAGGUUGUAGACUAAAAAUGUUCAGGGAUUAAGAUGAGAAAAGUUGUUAAGUUCAAGUAUUAAAUAUUGUUUUAUCUUAUCAAUAAGUGUUGAGUGCAAUGGUAAUGUACAUCACUCCUAAUGAAAGAAUACAAGUUUAAUCAUUAGAGACGACAUUGUUAAAAACAACAGUCACAAACCUCAAACAUGAACCAUAAAAAAAAAGAAACCGAAAAAAAAUUACUUUUAUCUUUUUUUUCCAAUGUUCUUCGAUAUUUAUUAGUCACAUUAGAUUCUGCCCAUGUAUUGGCCUGAUGGUGAGGGUGUUCACUGCCCCAAGUAUUGCUUGAGUUUGAGUCGCGCUAUUUAUUUUGCUGUUAGGGCUUUACUCUCUUGUAAUUUACCAAAAAAUAUUACCACGUGUUUCUUUUUUUUAUAUAUAUAUAAAUAUUUUAUUAUACCUAAAAUACUUGUCAACUUCUAACUCUAUUUAUAGAACCUAAAAAUUCUGCUAACAGUAUAUCAAAUAAUAGUUUAUAUACAUUCAUUCUCCUUUUCUUUUGAACUUUUUUUACACAUUAAAGAAGAAAAAAAAGCCUAAUUCUUAGGAGUGAUUAAAGUAUGAGCUGAGAUUCUCACAUUGGAAGAGACGAAGAAAACAAACAAACAACACAUUUAAUUAACCAACCGACCAACAUGGUUUACAUGCUUUAAUCCUUUUCUUUUUUUAUAUAUUUUUGACCACACAUCUCCAAAUUAACUGCUCAAGUUUAUGCUUUUCAUACAGUUUUAAAAUUUUGUGGAUUAAGAAUUGAGUUUUAACUCGACUGAUAUAGGUAUUAUUAUCUAUAUAGGAGACGUAGAUUUGAGUGCAUUAAAACACAUUAUAAGAGGGUUGGAGAUGGGCUAUGGGUAAUUUUAGGCAUUGUAUCAAAAAAAGUAGAUAUAAUCAGAAUUUAUAAUGAGAUUAUUUUAAAAUUUUUAUUCAUUCGAGUCAAUUAAAUUUGGUUAAUUUUUAGCUUUUGGUGUUUAAACUAUUUUUUGUUUGAAUCAUUUAGAUUUAUAAGUCAAGAAUGUCGGAUUAGAUCGUAGGAGCAAAUUUAAAAUUUUUUGCUUAGAAAAGCUGAGAUAAAAUAAUAAAAUUUAAGGGAUCAAAGUUAAAAAUUUUGUAUUAAAAAGCUUAAAUUGAAUGAUUAAUUUUUCAAAAGGGUUAAAAUUAAAAAAAAAUCAUUUAAUCAAAAGUUAAAGAAACCAAAACUAAAUCUUAUAAUUUUGGGAAAGGCUUAAAAAGCAAUUUGGCCAUUUGACCAAAGGUUCCAAAACUCUUGCCGGUCCUUUUGGCUACACCAGAUCAUUUUAGAUUAUUUAUUUCAGUCGUCCUUCUAAAUUUAAUUUAUUUCAAGUUGAAUUUUAAAUAAUUUCUAAUUUAAAUUAAGUAGAAUAAAAAUUUUUAUGAUUAAAUCAUUUUUUUUUUGGAUCAAAUUGAGAGGUGACAGGCAUAUGACAACUGGAUUGAGAAUAAAAAAAGUUAAUGCAUUAUAUUAGCUAAGAGAAAAUAAAAAUAAAAAUAAAAAAGAAAAAGGGAAAGAAUGUCUUAAUUGAGCCUUUACGCAUGGGUUUGCAGUAGCCCAACACAUUUCACAUCACAUUAACAUAUUCCCUGUCAAUUUUAGGGAUUUUAUAUUUCAACCAUUAUUAAUAUAUUUAUAAAUAUUUUCAUAUAUGUGACCAACUAUAAUUUUUUAUUAAUUAGCACGAUAUAAUUUAAUAAGAUUUAAUUUAACUUGUCGAGUCAAGUAAAAAAUAUAUAUUUGAAAAAAAUUAUGAUAAAAUUUUAAUUUAAUCUUUUAAAAUUUAAAAUUGCAUCUUACCCUUUAAUUGUAGUCACUGUGCUCCGGUGUAAUAAAAUGGAUAGCUGCCGCCCUUAAACCAGAAGUUGAUUAUGACGUUAAGAUUAGCUCAAUUACACGUUUGCCUCCAUUAAAACACAAGCUUUCCUUUGUCAUCUAUAAAACUUGAAUCAAAUCCUCAUGUUCCUUAAAACCAUAUGAGCCAAGAACAAAAAACAUAACAAUGGCGUUUACCUCCAUUUCUUCCUUAUUUUUAUUGCUUUUAGUCCUUCAUUUUUCGUCUUCAACAACAGCUUCCACCUGCCAUGCUAAAAGCUUUAAAUUAAAUCCCAUUCAAGAAAAAUUCAUUCAAUGUUUCAAAGCCAAUUCCGAGAUCCCUAUUCCCGUGUCCACUGAAUUUUUUACCCCAAACAAUGCUUCUUUUUCCACUGUCUUGCAGUCCACGGCACAGAACCUAAGGUACUUAGAGCCGCCGGUGCCGAAACCCGAGUUCAUCAUCAUGCCGUUGAAUGAAUCCCACGUCCAAGCCGCUGUCAUUUGUUCCAAAGAACUUGGGAUUCACAUGAGAGUACGUAGCGGAGGUCAUGAUUACGAAGGGAUGUCUUACGUAUCGGAAACCGAAUCACCUUUCAUCCUGGUUGAUCUCUCGAAGUUACGAUCGGUGAAAGUCGAUAUCGAGAAUAAUAGUGCUUGGAUCGAAGCUGGUGCGACGAUCGGCGAAGUUUAUUAUAGGAUUUACGAAAAAAGUAAGAUCCAUGGUUUCCCUGCAGGUCUUUGUACUAGUUUAGGUGUUGGUGGGCAUAUAACGGGAGGUGCGUAUGGUUCUAUGAUGAGAAAAUAUGGUCUCGGUGUUGAUAAUGUUAUCGAUGCUCGAAUUGUCGAUGUUAAUGGACGUGUCCUCGAUCGAGCAGCUAUGGGUGAAGAUCUUUUUUGGGCAAUCCGUGGUGGUGCAGGUGGAAGCUUUGGCAUUAUUCUUCAAUGGAAAAUACAGCUAGUACCAGUACCAUCUACCGUGACAGUCUUUACUAUCACCAAGUCCUUACAACAAAACGGUACCAAAAUCUUCCAUCGAUGGAUCGAGGUUGCCGAUAACCUCGACGAUGACCUUUUCAUUCGAGUUAUCAUCCAAACGGCAAUGAUCAACGGCGAGAAAACCGUGACAACAUCAUACAAUUCCUUGUUCCUUGGUGAAGCUGAUAGACUCGUAGAGAUAAUGCAACAAAGUUUCCCCGAAUUAGGACUAACUCGAAAAGAUUGCAUCGAAACGAGUUGGAUUAAAUCGGUUCUUUAUAUCGCUGGAUACCCAAGCAACACUCCACCGGAAGUUCUCCUUCAAGGUAAGUCCACAUUCAAGAACUAUUUCAAGGCUAAAUCAGAUUUCGUUAAAUCAAAUAUACCAGAAACAGCAUUAGAAGGUUUAUGGAAAAGAUUUAUGGAAGAAGAUACUCCGCUGAUGAUAUGGAACCCUUACGGCGGUAUGAUGGCUCGGAUAUCAGAAUCGGAAACCCCGUUUCCUCACCGGAAAGGUAACAAAAUCAUGAUCCAAUAUGUAAGUGCAUGGCAAGAUGGUGAUAAAAAUGAAUCCAAGCAUAUCGAUUGGAUCCGUAGACUUUACAAUUACAUGGCACCAUAUGUAUCAAUGUUCCCGAGAACUGCAUAUGUAAAUUAUAGGGACCUUGAUUUAGGGACCAACAAAAAUGCAAGCACUAGCUUCAUUGAGGCUAGUGGUUGGGGGGUUAAGUACUUCAAAGAUAAUUUCAACAAGUUGGUCAAAGUGAAAACUAAAGUUGACCCAGAAAAUUUCUUCAGGCAUGAACAGAGUAUUCCACCUUUGCCGGUUGAAGCUAGAUUUUAAGGGAUAAUUUUUAAUUUUAUUUUCUGGUUUUUAUGCUUCAUUAAAUUGUACUUUGCUUUGGUUUUGUGUUUUGAACCAAAAGAUGAAAAGAAAAUAAAGGAUUGUUUGGUACUAAGUUUUUAAAGGGUUUAUAGGAUUAGAUAAUGGUAAUGUGUUUCUUUGUUGCUGUUGUGAUUGCUAUUUUAUAUGAAAAGGUGAUUUGGAACCAAAUAGGAUUGAUUUUGUGUGUGCAUUAAAUAUGCUUUUUUUAUGGAAAAGUAUUUAUUAAACAUCAAUUUCAUGCUUUCUAGAAUCUAAUUACUAAUUCUAUCAUUCCAUGCUAUUCCAAACCCCUCAAAAAUAAUCAUUUUCUUCUUUUAUCAAUUUGCUAUAUAUAUAUAUAUUUUUUUUAUAUAUUUGGGCUUCAUCUUAGUAACAUUUUUUACGAUUUCAAACUUUUUUUUAAUCUAAUUUAGUCUCUGAAAUUAAAAAUUAUUCUCAUAUUAAGACUUAAAUUUAACAAUUGUUCUCAUAAUAGAGCCUACAUUUUAAAAUUUUUAAAGAAAUAUUAAAGACUAAAUUAGAUAAAAAAAAGUUCAAACUCUAAUGUAAUAACAAUUGUCAAGUUAAAGAAUUAAAUUGGACUAAUAAAGUUAAAACCUCAAUAUAAAAAUAAUUAUUAAGGUCAAGGCUUAACUUGAAAAAAAAAUUAAACCCCAAUGUAAAUAAUUGCCAAGUUUAAACCCCAAAAAGUAAUUUAACCUUAUAUAUAUAUAUUUUUUAUUUUUAUAUAAUUUUCUAUGUUUUUUCUUUAUUUUUUAUCUAAUUGUUGUUGGAAGUAAAAAUUGAUGAUCGGUUUAAAUUUUAAAACAUUGAAAAAUACGAACUAAAUCUCUUUCCUUUCGAUUUUUUUUUUCCAUAUGAAUUGAAGAUUGAAAGGUUGAAAGACAAUUUGCUCGAACUAAAAGAAUAGAAUGUGAAAAAGUUAAAAAGCUAAAUUUAUUCUUAUGCCUUGAACACAAAAAUUUGCAUUUUCAACGAGGAGACUAUUUGCUCCUCUUUUGUGAAGAAAAUGGACAAGUUUGCUCAAUUUUAAGCAGAUAAAACUAAAAUGCAAUCCGGGCAUAAGACAGGGACUUCUAAGAUACCUUUACCAAAAAUAUUUUCAAAUCGCAUUAGAUUAGAAACACUUUCAAAGAAUGAAAUUGCAAUGAGAAAAUUAUAUGAAACACACAAAAACAGAAGUUGGAAAGUUGAAUCUUCCUUCUUUUUCUUUCUUUGAACAUGAAGCUGUGGCAAUAGAAUACAAUUAGGCCUCGAUACUACUUAUGAACAGGUAAAAUGAAACCGAAACAAAUGGGCUAACCCGAAAACCUACCAAGUGAGGAGAAACUACUGGUUUCUGCAAAAAUAUUCAUUCAACAAAAGAAUGUACCCUGAUUUUAAAAUUUUUGCAACUUGCAUAUCAAACUUCUAUGUGCAAGACCAUAAUGCAACUAAUUUCAGUCAACAGACUGGAAGAGCCUAAUCGAUAUUGCUUUUUGCUCUUCGGUCAACAAAGGAAACCAGUUCUUUAAAAGAUUUGCAGGAACAAACUGACCUGACAUGGCAGAAACAAGAUCAAUAUUGUUCAAAUCAAGAGAUGUAAGCCCCAGCAAAGCAGCAACGGUUGCAAGCUGGAUGGGAAGACCAGCUCUAAUUGUAGUCUCCCGCAACAAGAAAGCGUUUAACUUUGUUCUCAAGUUUUCGACCUCUUUAUCUUCAUAUCCAACAGCAUCGACUCCAAUUCUUAAAAACAGACAUGAAAGUUAUAUGAGAUUUGUGAAUAUUGAGCUAUAUUAGUAUUGGUUUAAGGAUUUAUAGCCAUUCUCUGGUUUAACAAUACUAUUUACCAAUAGAUUCAAAGAAGUAAAAGUAUUAUGGAAGCCCCCUAUAUUAGUUGCAUUUUGUCCCUUUUGCUUAAAAAAAUGAGCAAAUUAAUUCCGGUACAUUAUAUUAAAGAGCAAACUGAUUGUUUUUGUUAAAAAUUCCAUUCAUUUCUACUGUUAAAAACUAAUAUCGCUGACGAAAAAACCAAAUAGUUACACAUGGUAUGUUACUUGUACCUCAUGCUGACAUACAUGGACCAUUUUUUAAUGGUAGAUAUUGAUGGAAUUUUUAACAGAGGAACCAGUUUGCUUUUUGAUCUAAUGUACAUGGACUAAUUUGCCCAUUUUUUUGAGUAGAGGGUGCAAAAUGCAAUUAGACUCUUAGUACAAGGGCCUCCAUAGUGCUUUUAUUGAUUCAAAGCUUUCCCAAAUUCGUGACUGUGCCACAAAUGAUCAAAUUUAUCUUUCAAAUUUACGACUAAGUUAUCAUUGACUUGGCUUGGGUUUGAUUCUUGAAUCCUAAUCUGAUUGCCAAGAAUUUUCAGGAUAGUAUUAAGAUUUCUGAAAGUUGAAGUAAAAGAAAAUCUUCUGCUUUAACAUUUCACUUUUUUGUUCUGACCAGUAACAAUUGUCUCAAACUUUUAAACUCUAAAUACCCACCUUAAAGCUAAAUUCAAGUUUCUUUUGGGGGUUAAAUCACCUAUUUGGAGAAUGAACUUGGCAACUAUUCCACAUUAGGGCCAGAAAAUUUUAUCGGUCCAAGUUAGGCCUUGAACUUGAAAUUGUUCCCACAUAGAACUUAAACUUUUUUUAUCCAAGUUAGUCCCUGAACUUAGCAAUUGUUCUCAUAUUGGAGCUUGAACUUGACAAUUGUUCCCACAUUAGGACCGAAACUUUGGGACUUUUAAGGAAAUAUUAGGGACCAACUUGGACAAAAAAAAGUUUAAGCCCCAAUGUCCGAACAAUUGCUGCAGGGCCUAACUUAGACAAGAAAAAGUACAAACCCCGAUGUGGGAACAAUUGCCAAGUUCAGGCCCCAAAAAGUGAAUUAACCCCCUUUUUUUUUAAGGAAACCUACAUUGAAUUUCAACUGAUAUACAAAUAGGAAGAAAGCAGGAAAAGUGAGAGAAUAUAUAAACGCAAAAUUUAAUCCAAGAAUACCUCCCAAGUUGACCAAGAAGAAUAAUGAUAGCAACACUGAGGUUCUCAAGAGCAGAUGACUCCAAGGUACUCCACAGCUGGGCAAUGAUUUUAUUACAUGUCCAGUUCCAGCUCUGUUUUCAUGAAAUCAUGAGUUAAAAUCUCAGUACAAAAGAUCAAACAAUUUCACAACCAGGAAGCAAAAUCUAAAACCAAAACAUAUGGCAUUUCUUUUCAGACUUUUUUAUUACUUUAAAAUCUUUAAAAAAUCAUUUAUCAUGAAGACUUUUAAGAUAUUUUAAUAUAAAAAGUUCAAAGCUUUUGAUUCAGCCAGGGGAAAUUCAUAGCCAAAUAUUACCAUUUUGCUAAUUUUCUUUUCUACGUUUUCUAUAAUAAAAGAAAAAGGUAAAAAUUACCAUAUUGCAUGCAAUCAGCUCCAUCAAUGAUAAGAUGUCACCGAUGUCACACAAGGUCUUGGUGACAACUGAUCCAGACCGUAUACCAGCCAAACUGCACUUAUCUAAAAAACAGGAUACAUUCAUGUCAAGGAAACAGCUCAAAUUUUGUUCAGCUAUUUUCUCAAUGGACAUGACACUUGAAUUCGAUGAAUUUACUGUCAGAUUUUGAUGCAUAAAUCCUGACUGGGCAAAAUUCUGAAGCUUUGUGAAGAGCAAUGAGACGACAAUAUCUACAGAAAGGGCGUCUUUAGAAAAUGGGCAUCCAACACAUGCAUGGAACUGAGGUAGAACAUCACCCACAAACGAAUGAGUCGCUGUAGACAUCGGUGCAUGUUCACUUUCAAGGAACAUGACAAUCGAUUUCAGUACAGUCAUUGUUAAACUAUAAUUUCUUAAGGUGAACAUUUUAUUGCCACCCACAUAAGCAAACGCAUGAAGAAUAACCAGAACCACCAAGGUAUCAUAUCUGUGCAUUCUGAAAAUGUUAUAUGCAGCUUCACACAGAAAGCCGGCUCGGUCAGCAGCUGCACAAAUUGAACCCAAUAUAAUGCUACCGGCCACCAAAAGGUCAGCUGAAGCAGCUUCAUGCUUAAAUACUACUGCUGAUCCAUUGAAAAUGGCAUGUCUUCUUGAAUCACAUUCAACAGAAGUCUCAGAAGACAGAGCAGCACACAACAUAACUCUCCCCUCUAUAAGAAAUUCCUCAAUUAAACUAAGUAGUUCAUCCAAACAUAAUUCAUCCACCACACUUCUAGCCUCAGCAUCAGAAAUCACUAAACCAAAAGAACAGUUAAAUAAAGCCUAAGCCGAAACAACCAAAUAACAAAUUAUAAGAACCAAUAUAGAUACAACAAAUCAAACAUAACCUAGACACAGAUAAAACUUGUGAAGGUACCUUCAUUAAUGUGUUCAGCAAACAACUGUAAACAGGGUAUGAAAUCCUUAAGCAGAGAGCAGUUCUUAGAUGUAGCUGUACAGAAGUUGAGAAGUACCAAUGAGAAAAAUACACAAGCCUUCUCCCUGAAACAAAAAACCAUGAAGUUUUAGAAAGAACGCUCCGCAUCUACUCAUCAAUUAAUUUAAAAGUUGUGGGAGUCCAAGCAGGCAUCAGAAUGAAUUAAGCAAGAGGUAAAGAACUCAUAGACAGUCCUCAACAGCAGACACAAUAGCAUAUCUUGAUGAUAACAAAACACUUACCUGGGUAAAAGCUCCUCUUCCAGUUUAAGAGCAUGUGAAAUUCUAUGCACAACAAACUCUUUCUGAGCAGGCAAAGAGCAUUGAACCAUACAAGUUUUAGUGGCACGAAAAAUUCUAGAGAGACUGCUAUCCUCCUUGAUGUCAGAGAACAUAACACAGUAUUUUGGAGUACUUUCAAUGGUGGAUCUAAUUUCACUUUCAGAUGGAAUGUUCACCACUCCAUCUCCAGAACUAGGAGCAACUGACAUCUCCAUGUCCACUCCAGAGUCCUGGGAAUUGCUUAAAAAAGCUCUUUCCGCUAGCAAAGUACUGCAAAAACCCUUCUCAUUACGCUUUAGAAAGUCAAAGGAACCAAAAGAACACCCAUUCUCAUGUUGUAAUUUAGGUGAAGUGUCAACCCUACUACAUUGCAACUGAAUGGAACUGUUCACAUUCAUAACAUCAAACUUAUCAGAAGAUGCAGGAUUUUCAUUUUGAAGAGAGAAUCUUUCACAGUUCUCGUCCUGUACUGGUCUAAAUUCAUUGACCUCGAAUGAUUUGAUUCCAGGAAAUUCCAUUUCAGGAAGUGUUGGAGAUACAGGCCUUUCUACUGCCAUCCUAUAGCAUUCUUCCUCUGCAGCAUCAUCCAAAUCCAGCAAUUUCAUAUAGUUUUUGUAGACUAUUUCCUCAAAACCAACCAUAGUUUUAGGAUCAAUAGUAUCAGGGUUGCACAAAUGUUCAGAGCAACCUUGCAUCUGCUUAAUCUGCUGACCAUCACAAUAUUGCUCCAUAGCCAAAGUCACUUCAUGAGAUGCUUUUCUUCUCUUACGAGAUCUAUCAUGCACAGAGUAUGCAAUAUCUUGCAGGUUACAUCUCAAAGAUUUUGCUUCUUCAGUGGGUUUGUCCAUUUGUACCAUACCAUGCAAAACAGAAAGCUUGUCCUCAAGCUGUAGAUGCAACUUCUUACUCUCACAGCACAAAGUUUCAAUACAUUCUACAGUAUCAAGUAUCAGUUUUCUCUUCCUAACACGGCCCUUAACUCUUCCAAGAGAACCAAGAGGACAUUUAACACUAUUCUCAGCAACCACAGCAGGAUUUUCACUGCACGUAUUUUCCGUAACUUCACCAGACAUGCUUGAAAUAGUUGGCUGUAAAUUUAAGUUCUCUUCACCCAGUUUUGCUGAUGUGGUAACUGAAUGAGCACCUCUUUCCUGUGAGCCCACCAACUGUCUAUCAGAAAAAUAAGCUGUACUGGAAUUUAUUGCAGAACUCUGUAACAUUCUUUUAUUAGAGCCUCCAAAUAGAGACUCCAAUUUAGCAUUAAUACCUGUGAUAGAUUCACAACAGUUCGCUCCUCGUAUAGGAAGCAAAUGGUCAUCAGGUCGAAAUGUUUCCCCUAGAGGAUUGGAAGCAGAGGUAUCCAUGUGCCUAGUCUUAAGAAAUUGAUUUUCAGUUUGAAGACAUGUUUGCCGUAAUUCUAAGCUGCGCAAUUUUUUUUUCAACUUUGUUUGUUGCAUACUUGAAAAGUCCCCGGCCUGCCAAGCAUAUAAAAAACCCCAUGUACAACCAUGAUCAGAAUCAAUGGCAGAAAUAGCAACAAUAAUGAAAAUACAGAACACUGUAAGACUACGCAAAAACCUUAUGCAAUUCAAAUUGAUCUAAACGAAAAAAAACAUACUACCAUGAGACAGCAUAUUUAAAUUCUUUUUUAAAAAAUUAUGAAAAGGUACAGAUUACACAAAAUCAUAGGAUAAACGUGAGAUAAAAUAUACAAGGAAACUUGUAAUGAUGAAAUCCCUCCCUCCCUCCCUCCCUCCCUCCCUCCCUCUCUCUCUCUCCACCUUAUUCAGUUUCUUCAUCUUGUUCCAUCCUUUAUUUUGAAAGGCUUUAUUUCUAUUUUUUAGUUUUUUCGACGCUGGGGAAAUUAAAUUACGAAGAGCAAUCAUAUCAUCAAAACCACCCACAAAUUGAAGUAGCAUUGAAAGCAAACAGAUACCCUACCGACCAGUUCAAUAAUACUGAAAAGCCAUCAGGUAACAUUCAGUCUAAGAAAACCACCCAAAAGCAAAAUAUAGUAUCAAGUGCCAAAACUGUAUGCUAUUUUUCAAACAAAAAAAGAAUUACGAUACUACAGCCAUCAAUCGGGAAAAUAAUUAAAAUUUUGUGGACAAAAGGAUCUAAAAUGCGAGAAUAAAGAAAGACACUCAGAGAUAUUAUUAACAGAAACUAACCUUUUCCAUGUCAUAUAUACCUUCAGCAGGAGCUAAGAAACAAUUAUCUACAGCAUCCAAACGGUCCAAAAGUUGAAUUAACUUGAGCUUCAUGCAACCUAUUUCUUGCUGCAAAAGAUUACUACGACCUUUUUCCAGCCUAGCAACAUCUUUUGCAUGCUUUACUCUUUCCUUUUCAAACUUCAGUUGUUUUUUCAAAAGCUUUACUUCUGCUACUUCAGCACUAAUACCAUUGUUAGAUGAAACAAACAAUUCACCAACUUUUUUUUUAUUGGAUGAGAGUUCAUGUAUCUGCUUCUGCAGUUCAUUAAUCUUCAGCUUAGCAUCUUCUAACAGCUUUGAUAGAUGAUCACCACAGUGUUCUCUUUUCAUCGUCUUUGUAUUCACCCCCACAAGCUUUCUUUUCUUUUCUGCUUUCCUCAUGUUUGAAUCUGCUUUUUUUCUCUCACUAAUAGUCUUCUCUUUCUCAAUAUCCUCAACUUGCAAAGAACCAGAAACUGCCCUUGACUUGUCUGCAUCUUCCUUCAACACCUUGAAUUGUGCUGUCUUUUCUGUUUUUGCAGCAAUUGUAUUUCGAUCAGGUUGGUCAAAAGGAGCCUCCUCCAUAUUUCUUGAGCCAGAAAGUUCAUGUAAAUUUUUAUGUAGUUCUUCAUUCCUUCUCCUGGCCUGUUCUAGUUGUUUGGUCAAAUUAUUAUUGUGCAGCUUCUCUUUGACAGCUUUCUUCUUAGUUGCUUCUACAACCUUCCUUUGUUCCUCCACUUUGGGCCCUUCAACAGCCUUCUUAUUUUCUUCUGCAAUCUUCCUUUGCUCUUCUGCUUUAGCCAUCUCAAUAUCAGCUUGUUUUCUUACUUCAACCGCCUUCUUCAUGUUUUCUUCUGCAAUCUUCCUUUGCUUCACUGCUUCAGCCAUCUCUAAAUCAGCACGUUUUCUAUCUUCAACAGCCUUCUUCUUAGUUUCUUUAGCAAUCUUCCUCUGCUUCUCUGCUUUAGCCAUCUCCAAAUCAGCACAUUUUCUUUCAUCAACAGCCUUUUUCUUAGUUUCUUCUGCACUCUUCCUCAACUCGCUUGCUUUAGCCAUCUCCAAAUCGACAAGUUUUCUUUCUUCAACUGCCUUCUUUUUCUCUUCUUGUAGCUUCUUAAUUUCCUCGUCAAGGUUUGACUUCUCUGAAUCCAACUUGGAUUUUGCUUCACUAACAUCUUUCCUUAGUGUCUCCAAUUGUUUUAACCUACGUUCUUCACCAGCCUUACCCUUCUCAGUUGCAGCAUAUGUUGAUGCUUCAGCUGCUUUCCUCUUUUCCAAAUCUGCCCUCUUCUUCUCUUUCUCAACAAGCUCCUUGAGCCAGCUUAUUUCCUUAUUCAUGUCAGAAACUCUAGCUUUAAGCUGCUUUAUUUCUUCAAUUUUAUCUUCAAUAUCCGAAACUCCUUUUUUCUUUAAGUUGGAUAUCUCCGACUUUAAAACAGAUAACUCAUUCUCUAAUGAAACUCUUAAAGCCAACUCUUUUUCUCUGCCCUCUUUCUCUACCUUCGUUAGUGCCUGCUCUUCUUCAUAAGCUGAACGUUCAAAGCAACAAAUUAUAACAAAAAUUGCAGGACACUUCAAAUUGAACUUGUACUCCUUUAAUAUAAAAUAUCAACAUAAAUGGAUUCACAAUUGAUGGACGAAGGCUAGCCUAAAUGUAUGAAAACAACCAUUAGCAGACAUAAGUUUCAGCUAAAUCCUUCGAACUUAUUAUAUAAUUAUACAUUAACCCAUUAUAAAAUUAAAACCCUAAACAAACACUAUGAAAUCAACAAAAUGAUGUUAAACAUAAUCGCAUUGCUUUUACCUUUCUUAAGAGUCAAAUUCUCAGCUUGAAUAUCAUCAUAUCCUUUUUCAAGUAUACGAAUUCCUUGCUUUAGAAAAACUCGCCCCCUUUCUGCCUUCGAAUAUUUGUUUUUCCACUGAAAUAAAUAAGAAAAAGUUUACACAGAGAAACAAGAAAGAAUACAUUAUGAAAAUAUUGUAAAAAAUAUUGUAAAAUAUGCUUCUCUAAUUUGAAAUCAUACCACUUGACAGCAGCGUGAUACUUGAACAUCCUCCAGUGGCGCGUCCGCCACACUCGACUCUGAAGUGCCUGGAGUACCAGGAAACUCCGCCGCCAUUGCUGCCAAAGCAUCCAGAAUUUGAGAUUAGGAAAUAAUACAAACUAAUCAGAUUUCAACAAAUGAAAAAAAAAAAGGUUUCUACCUUUUCAGACUGAUCUCUUUUUUUUAUUUUUCCCCCCUUUUUGGAGCAAAUUCUCAGGAAACAAACAUUAUAAGAAAGUGAAAUUAUCAACGAGAAGCAAAACAAGACGUGCUUAUGUUGGAUUUAAUAUUGUGAGAAUGAUGCCAUUGCAUGUUUUAAAUCAAAAGAAGCCAAAAUGAAAAGAAAAUAAAAGAAAACCCUAAACCUCGAUUAUGGAGGGAAAAGGGUUGCAGAUGCAGUGGACAGUGAAGUGAAUUUCGGGGUAAAAUUUGAUUUUUUAGCAAUUUAAUAUACAACUCUCCUAUUCAAAACCUCAUUUAUAUUAAUUGAAUUAUUUGAAAUGAGAAUUUUAAGAAUUAAUUGAAUGAAUUUUUUUUCCGAACAUACAAACCAUAUUUUGGUUAAUUCAAUUAGUUAAUCGAAGUUUACAUAUAUUUAUUUUUUUAGUUAAAAUAAGUGUAAAAUAUAUAAAAAUAUAUUAUAUAUUUUAAUUAAUUAUUCAAUUUUAAAUCGAAUUAAUAUAUAACUUAAAUUUUAAAAAAUUAUUACAAGAGCUCCGAUUAAACUAAAUUUAAUCACCGUCUGAUUAACUAAAUUAAAUCAGUUCGGUCAAUAAAUUUAGAUUUAACCAAACUAUGAACAUCCUUAUCUCUAUAUAAAUAUAAGUAUAAACUAUCCAUAAUCAGUCUUUCUAUAUCUUUUUUUCAAUUUUAACACUUAUUACUUUUCUGUUAAAUUUCUAUUCUUUUAUAACUUUAACACUCUCAUUAAAAAUUAUUUUUAUUUUAAUCAUUCCUCCAUUAAAUCAAAUAGAAUAUUGAUUGUACCAAUAUAUGUGCAACUUUUUUUAAAUCCAGUCCUCUACAACUUUUUUCCUUGAGUAAACUUAGUGGGAUGAUCCAAUGCAGUGUUUGUCCUUUAAUUUUUCUAAUGUGAGAUGGUACAUGGUUGAUUGGUGGCUUCCUCAACUGUAAGUUAAACGUGGAUAGCACUUCAAAAGAGUAGUUGGGUUUGGAGGGGUUCUAAGGAAUAAUAAAAGUGAGAUUUUGGUACUCCUUUUAUGUCCAAUACCUAUUUCGGAUAAUGAAAUCGUUUAUGCUGUAAAAUAUGUAUUGAUAAUGUUCAAUAUGGUUUUCUUAUUUCACCAAAUAUGGUCAUCGACUUAGACUCCACAGUUGUCUUGUUUCUAGUCUAAAAUAAACACAAAAGACUAUCAUUUUCGAAAGUCUUUAACAUUGCUGAUUGGUGUGUAUAUCUUAUUAGCGAUGUUUCCUAUUGCUAAGUUUUAAAGGUUGCUAAUGGUUUCAGGAUGCACUUGCUAAAGUUGGUGUGAAUAGCCCAUCAAUAUUUGAAGCUAAUGGUGAGUCCGUGUUCAAACUUUAUGUGUUUUAUUGUACUCGAGGAUUCUUUUGAGUGAUGUUUCUUACGUUGUCCCUUUGAGAUGGUUAUUUUGCUUUUGAUUUUUAGGACGAGAGUAGUUUAAUUUUUAUUUUUAACCAUUUCUUUCUCCUAAUUAGACUUUGUAUUCUAAUUUUCAAUUAACGAAAAUGUUCCUUUGUUGAGAUUUUUUUUAAAAAUUUUGUGCAAAAAUAAAUGUGUUGAGGCAAGUUUUUGAAGUAGCCUACUAAGUGCCAACUAGACAUGGCCACUUCCAUCAUUACUUACUUACCAUAUUUGGAGUUGACAAUUUAUUAAAACAAUGAACUUUAAAUGGUAUUAAUAUCCUGGAUAUAUGCAAGCUAAACUUUGAAGACCAAUAAUUUUUAAGCAAUUUUCCUUCAUGAUUGGAGUGAUUCAAAUCAAGCAAUUGAAUCCCUUAGAUUGUGGAGAACGAUUCAAGAUUGCAUUGAAGAUACCAUUGAAGAAUGAAUCUCCAACAGUCCAAAUUACAUUAGUUUUUAUUAAUAUAUUGUAUUUUGCUAUUUUAUAGAUAAGGAGUUGGAUUGUAAUAGAUGUCCAUGUUAGCAAGUCUCUAAAGCUUCUAUAUAUUGAGAGGCUUGUGUAGACUUUGUACAAAGUGGAGAGAACACUUUAUUGUUCACAAAAGAACAUAUUUUUGUGAGAGCAUUUGAGAGUAAACAAUUUGAGUUUAUAGCCUAAAUUUUGAAGGAGAGGAUUUAGAUAUAAGUGAUCUAAUCUUUAGGAACAAAAGUGAGGUUCUUAUCUCAGGCAGUGUUAGAACAUAAUUCACUGAGUUAGGCUCUGCAGAUAUAGAGAAACCGAACUAUAUAAACACAAAAGGCCAUACCAUUUUUUUGAUGUCUUCAACACUAAUUGGCUUGUAUAUAUUAUCAGUGAUGUUUCCUUCUGCAAAGUUUUAAAAUACGCAGAUUAAUUUCCCUACAUCUACGAAGUCCAGUCCAGUAAGAAAUAUUUACUAUCUUCAACACUUGCAACAAAUGAUCCUAAAUCUAUUGCACACCUGUGAAAAUUUUAUUACCUUUGCACCUUGAAGAUCAAUACUCUCACUACUAAAUUCAUCCCCGUUAACUCAAGUAAACACAACACAAGCAAUUUUACUAUCAAAAUGCCCUUACAAAGUAAAGUUCCUUGCUAGAAAAGAUUAAAUGUUAAAUCUCUCAAUACAUUAAUUUAUACAAGUCUCUUAAUUAUGUGGAAAUAUUUCGAAAAUUUCUAACAUAAGAAGAUCUAUAUCAAUCCUUAUAAAACAACAAUGAAAGAAGCCUAAUACAAUAGAAUACUAGUAAAUAAUGUAAACAUGGACUCUUGGCAGCUAAGAAUACAAAGUUUCAAUCCAAUCCAAUAUUCACGACCCAAUGGAUUGGAUAAAAGUGAUCUGAUCCGAUCCAAUUCUCCGAAUAUAUUUCCCUAAAUGAUAUGAUCUUAAUCAAUAAAACUAAAUAUCAUCCACAUAAUUAGCACAAUUCAUAAACAUGAUUAAAUAAAUUGCUAGCAUCAUAAAUAUAGAAAUUGCCAAAACUUGUUUCAGUGAUCCAAGGAGUGAGCACUCCCUCUUACACUCAAUCAACCUUUCCAUAUUUUUCAACAAACGAUGUUCAAAUGAAAUGUUUGUUUUGAGUUGUAAUAAUUUAAAUCUUGUGAUGUUCUUUUUCUUAGGAAAAAAAAAUCGAAAUUGGUAUCUAAAACUUUACAUUUUUAGAAUAUGUAAGAAAACAUGAAAACAUAAAAUAAAAUAAAAAGUUAAUGUGUGAGUAUAGGAAAACACUAUUGCAACUAAAAAAAUUUCCUUUAUAAAUUCAACUUUUAAAACUGUUUAUUAUUAUAGCCAAAUUUUCAAAAUUACAAAAAGAAGGAAAGCUACAGCAGAAAAUAAUAGAACAAUACACCAAUUUGUGCAAUCAAUAAUUUAGAAUCACUUGGACAAUUUGAUAUUUUUUAAUGGCAUAUUACAAGCUCCUUUGACUUUGGCUACAGCUAUUUAGUUUAUUGAGAGAAAUUGCAAUAAAUUUUAAAUAAUAAUUAAAUAAUUUUCAAUAAAAGAAAAAAGUUAUAAAUUUUAUUCUAAUAUCUGUUUUAUCCUAAUAUUUUCUAAUAUUACAAUUUUUUUUUUCAUUUUUUAAGGCUAAAGUGCAACUUUAGCAUAUAUAAAUAAUAUAAUAAUUUUUAAGGAAAUUAAUAUGCAAAUUUUUAUUUUGAGGCCCCUACCUGCCCCUUUGCAUUCUCCUCUACAACCUACACAUAGGAUUUAUGCACUUCAUAUAAUAAAAAAUCAAAACCAAAUGAUUGUUUUACCUAAUUUUCCAAAGGAUUGUAUUCUUUUACCAUCAAAAUCUCCCCGCAUAACUUUUGCGGCACUUGGUCUAAUUCUUUACCUUCCUGCCACGCCUGCCCUACCAAAACACCAGGUCCUAUAUGCCGGAUGUAUAUCACAACCUCAUCACUGAACGGAUAUGGAUGUUUCACUGCAAAACUACAAUUAUGUUACUAAUGUUUUCUUUUUUAAAAAUGCAUAAGGAUAUAUUUAACCUUUAUAGUUUACAUUUUUUUUUAAUUUGAUCAUUAUUAUUUUUAGUUAAAUUUGACUUUUAACCUUUUAAAAAAUUCGAACUUGACCAUCAACUUUUCAAAAAGAAUCGAAUUGUUGUUUAAUGAAAAUGUUAACUAAAACAUUAUUUUUUAAACAUAAUAGGUCACAUGAAAAUAACGAGUACUUCAUGCUAAUUUUUUGAAUUUUUAUGAUUUCUUUUUUGUACUUUUUUUAUCUUUGAAUAUUUUUCUCAUAUCAACAUUAAGUACAAGUGAACUAGCUCAUGGGGUUCUCAUGCUAAAAUUGUUAAAAAAUUAAUGUUUUAAACAACAUUUCCAUUAAAAAAAUGAUUUGGCUCUUCUUAAAUGGUUGAGGAUCAAAUCUAACUCAAAAAAAUAUAUACGGGUAAAAUUAACAAAAGAUGUAAUAUUGAAUACUAAAUUAUCAUUAUACCUCAUAAUUAGCAAUUAUUAAUAAAUUAAUAACUUCACCUGGCUUUGGGAAGCCACUUGGAAAUUCAUCGAGAUCGAAGAGGCCAUCCCCGAACUCAUAUGCCAAAUCACAGGGUUGUUCAGUUGACAUUACUUCUUUCAUUUCAGUCACCUCAAAAUAGAAGGGACAUAACUGAUUUGCAAACUGAGACACAAUUGAUCCACCUAAGAAAUAAUAGUAAAAAGAGAAAAAAAGAAAAUUUUACUUGACUGAAUUCAAAUUUAAAGAUGCAUUGCUAGAAAUUUGUGUAUCAAUAGAAGCCAAUUGAAACGAUGGACUAAACCAACCAAUAAGUACUUAUCUUUUUUUUUUUGUCCUUGUUAGUACCUUUAUUUAAAUAUCAAAAAGCACAUGAAGCACAUUUGAGUAUGCAAACUAAAAUUUCUUCAAUGUAAUGGCAAUGGCAUCAUGGAUCAAGAAAUUCUAUUUCAUUAUUUCUCCUUAUUUAACAAAAUGAUUUUUUUCUAACCAUUUAGAGAUAACCAUUAAUUAACCAAACUCUCCCAGGUAUAAGCUUUCAUUAGGUAGUAAUUUCCCUUCUAUUAUCAUUAAUUUGAGUUAGUUGCUUAGCUCUUGCAAAUUGGCUGUGAAACAGAGUAGAAAGCAAACAACAAUUUUAUUUGUGUUCUACUUUAAUGUCCCAUAUCUGACAUUGUAUCUACUUCUAUUUCUAAAUAAAUGGUCAAGUAUUCACUAAAAUUAGUUCAACCAUAGCCAUCAACCGUCAAAGCAUCAAUCAAGUAAAGAAUCUAAUCCAGUCUUCAUCAUCUUCCUUGAAAUAAUAAUAACAAGAACCUUUGUAGCUGAGGGUGAAAUUACUAAUAUGAAAUGGCUUAUACACUAGAUUAACCCUGCUAAUCAACCCAAAGUAGAGCAUAUGCCAGCAGAGAUAAACAUACUUACUGGAAAAACGGCCAUAUGUCUUCCCAUUAUUGCCAUAAAAUAUAGUCUGAGAAGAGAAUCAGCCAACUCAAAUAGUUAAUUACAAAGGGAGAGUAUAAAAAAUAUGAGGAAAAAAGAAUGACUAGCUUCAUCAUAUUAAUGUAGAACUAACCUUCUUGAAGAAUUUCAACCAAGCAAUAAGAAAUGGACCUAGUAGAGAGAAGCACAUUAUUAAAUCUUUCGAAACUAACCUACAGUUAACAUUUAUUUAUUUUUAACAAAGAAAGAAGAGAAGUUCACAAGAAUAUCCAGCACACAACAGAAACAACAUAUAUGCACAUUAUUAGAGGCAGCAAACAACAUGUAAACUCUAAAUAUUGAAAAUUUCUAAGCUUAAUCUCAGAAAAUACAAUGCAAAGGUAUUAAGUGAUACCAAUUGCCAAGUUGUUGGCAAUAACUCAAAUAAAUUACCUCCACUGGUUCUGCAGUUAUAGACAUGAAACGGAAUUGCAGUGUCUUUAUUAAAACGAAUGUUGGAAUCAGUUUUCUUGACAAACUUUGGGUCAUGGUAUCGUGUGCCAGCUAUCUCCCAAGCUAUUGAAAUAAGCCUGCAUCGCAUACUCAUAAAUGUAGAAUUGAUUUCGGGAAGCACUUGAAUUAAACUAAUUUUACAGUUUUCUACUUGUUUCAGUAUCCUAUCUCCCAAUGUAAUGCAUCUUUUAGUUAUGCAGGCUUAGAAAUGCAACAUCGGUAUGCGUUUAGCAUUAUUUCUGACUGCCCAAAAGUACUUUUUGACAGAAAAAGCAAUGUUAAACAAAGGAUUUUUGUCAUCCAGAACAUUGAAAGUGCGUUUGAAACCAAAGCAAGAAGCUGUCUCUUAGAUGCUUUUCAAAAGCAAUUUUUAACCACAAUAAUAAUGCUAAACUAGAAUCAAUGCUAAAUAAGGCACUUUUGGGUAAAAAUACCAUGGAGACCCUUGUACUGGAGUCGGAUUGCAUUUUACCCCCUCUACUACAAAAAUGGACAAAUUAGUUUCUGUAUGUUAGAUAAAAAAAAUUGAUCCUUCUGUUAAAAAUUUCAUUCAUUUCUAUUAUUAAAAACCAAUUCAUCUACAUCAGAAUAAAGUAUACGAGGCAUGCCAUGUGUCACUAUGUCUAGUUAUUUUGUUAACCAUGCCAAUUUUUAUCGGUACAAAUGGAUGGAAUUUUUAAUAAAAAUGACCAAUUUGCUCUUUGAUCUAAUGUAUAGGGGACUAUUUGCCCAUUUUUUUAGUAGAGGGGACAAAAUGCAAUCUACCUACCAAUACAAGGGCUUCCAUGAUACUUUUACCAACACUUUUGCCAUCCAAUUAUAAAACCAAACAUUCAGCCACAACAACAAUGUUAUACUAGAAGCAAUGCUAAAUAAAACACUUUUUCCAUCCAAUUAUAGAACCAAACAAAGAAGCCGCGUGUUAGGUGCUUUCCAAAAAUACUUUUCAAGUAUGCUCAAGUAGAAGCAAGGCAAUAGAACCAAACAAUGAAGCUAGAUGCUAUGUACUUUUCAAAAGCACUUUUCAACUGAUAUUAAAGGUAAAAAGACCUCUCCAGUCACUAUCAAUUUCGAAAUUGAACAAAUUGGUCCCUCUCAAAAAACAAUCAAAGCAAUUUAAUCCUCGUCAAUUUCGAAAGUGUGCAACUAAUGUCAAUUAAUUUCGGAUUUGAUGUUUUCCAUCAAUCGUACUUGAUUAUAAUUGGUAUAAUAAUUUUAGCCCUCAAAGAUUACAUAUUCUAUCAAUUUGGUCUUAAUUUAACAAACUUAUCCCGCAACAUAUGUGUAAAUGUUGAGGUUGAAUUUAUUGAAUUUUUUAAAAUUAAGGCUAAAAUGGAAAAAUAUGUAAUCAUCCGAGGCUAAAUUUGUUAUUAUAUCAAUCAAAAUAUAUACAAUUGACAGAAAACACACAGUCAUUAAUUGUCCUUAGUUGCUCCCCUUCAAAAAAUUAACAGCUAUUAAAUUGCUUCAAUUUCUUUGACAGGAAUCAAUUUGCACAAUUUUGAAAUUGGGAGGGACUGGAGAGGUCUUUUUACCAAUAUUAAACUAGGGAAGAAAAGAAACCUCGGAUUAAGUAAUUGCAGCAAUCGAUGACGUCUUUCCUCUGGUAUGUCUUCAAUUUUUUUCCUGAAGAAGAAGAGAACAUGAUUUCCAUUACAAAUCCUAUAAUAUAACUAAAGAAACAAACAAAAAGCAAGAAAAAAUGUAAAAUGAGAAGAGCUAAACCAGAGAUAGGCAGCUGGAUUAUAAGAACCAGGAUCCAAAGGAAUCAAAUAGUUAGGAGGAUCAAGAAACGUAACGACAUCCAUUUCUUCCAAGUAAGGUUCAAACGACGUCGUCUCCGAAGCUCCAUUCACCCCUGCUCUAGCUCCAACUGAAAUCUUCCUUCCACCGCAAAAUCUUAGACCUGAAAUUCAGAAAUCACAAAACCACACUAAAACACAGUACUAGCUUGCAUGAUUUUAGUAAUAUUAAAUGGAAACGAAACUGACCUGGAAACGAGGAUAGGCCAAGAGCCGGCGGUGAGUGUGAAGAUGAGCUGAUUGAAAUCAGGCAUCCGCCGCUUGGUCUCGAGCAAAUAGGCGUCACAAAAGAUAAAGGAGUGUUAUAGCUUCCAAUAGAAACCCUCAUACUUAUCUCGAUUCCAACACUAACCUCUCUUGCAGUUGCAUCUAAAAUUGUGCUUAAAAUUUUCAACUAUAUCAUCUCAUAUGCUGCAAAUCUUUGAAUCUUUUGGUUUCUCCCUCGCUUUUCACUUGCACUCAAGCUUCCAAUUUGUGUUCUUUUUUAUUUAUUUAUUUGAAUUUCAUUUUCUCUGUAAUAUGGUUAAAUAUCCGGUAUCACUGAACUAUUACUAAAUUUAAAUUUUGUAGUGUAACUUAAAAAAAUUAUAAAAUUACUAUUGAAUUAUUUUAAAAUUUUUAUUUAAAUUAUUAAAAUUCUCUUUUAAAUUUAAUUCACAAGUUUCAAAGGAGAAAAAGUUAUUUAGAUUUUAAUUUAUAAAUUUGUGAGGUCGACGGUUAUUUUAUGAAAAAAAUUGAAAUGUAGAAGAGAAGGAAAAUAAAGCUUUUGAUUAAUAUAAGCGGUGCAAAUAAUUAGGGGUGAAGCUAAAAAAAAUUUUAGCGGUCGAAAUUAAAUUGUAAUUUUUAAUAACCUAUAUUUUUAUAAUUUUUUAAAAUAUUAAAUUAUUUUUUAUUAGUUUUAAAAAAUUAAAUAAAUUUUUUAUUAUUUUUAGGGGUCAAAAUAUAAUUUUACCUUUCCUAAUAUUAAAUUUUCUAAAGGACCUAAACAUAUUUACUUGGUUGAUUUUUCGUAGAUUGGUUUACCAAUAUCCUAAUGGUGUUAACACAAGGUACCAUAAUAAAACACAUAUUGAUAGUUUAAGUAUCAGCAAACAUUUUUAAAGUAUAGAUAUAAAAUUAGAUAUUUUAUGAAAGUAAAUAUAUCAUAAUAAAAUAUAUAUUGAUAGUUUAAGUACUGCAUUGAAUACUUUUAAAGUAUAGAUAUUAUAUUAAACAUUUCAUAACGUACAGGUAUAAAAAAUUAAUAAGGUUGUUAGACAAGUUAAAUUAUUAAUUUAUUUUUAAAAUAUUUGAUUAUUCGUUACAGAAAUCAGAAAAUGUCUUCUAAUAAUGAAGACUAUUAUUAUCAAGAAAUAAAAAAGAAUUAUUAUUUGGCUUUCUUUGUAACCGCGGCCACCUGCUGCCUAUCUGCUUUCCACCCAAGUCACCAACUGUCUUCCAUGGCUGGACUCUUCUGAAGUUCCCAAACUGCCCUUCCAUCCAUUUCUUGCCUUUCAUCUCCCACAAAACCUAUUGCUCGAGCUCCGUUCGAUCUGAUUUUCAGCUGAAAGGAAGAACCAAGAAGGAAAUGGCGACGGCGAAGGCGAAAACGGGACGAUCCACGCGACCAACGGCGCCUCCGAAAGAAAACGGCGCGAAGAUCGAGGAAGGCCUUAACGUUUUCAAAUCCGAUGAUUUCGACGCCGAUGCUUUUGUUCAGUCCAAGUGUUCUCUCGACGACAAGGUUUCUUUGUUCUAUUUUCUUUGCGUUUCUUUUUCUUAAAAGGAAUCUCAGUUUUUAACUAUGAAACGGUUUCGUUGCUUCCUUUAGGAAAUAAGACAAUUAUGUUCGUAUCUGUUGGAUUUGAAGAGAGCUUCUGCUGAAGAAAUGCGUAAAAGUGUGUAUGCUAAUUACCCCGCCUUUAUACGGUGAGAUGUUUUAGCUUUCCUCAACUCUGCUCUGUUAUUCUCUUUGUUGUUGCUAAAUCAAAUUAAUUACUAAUGCAAUUUACUUUUAUUUGUUUAUUGAAACUAGAAGAAAAAAGAAAGAAAGGAGAUCAUAUCGGCAUUUCCUCUGCUCUACCUACUACAAUAGUUUUUGUUGUAGUGCUCUCAUAAAAUUACUGCUUAUUUGACCCAAUUUCAUUUGAUUCUUGCUUCUCUUGUUUCAAUUAAGGAUUCAGUUAGCUAGAUCUUGUGAACAAGAAAAACGUCUUUCCCGCCUAACACAAAAUCAUGUAACCGCACAUCCUUUCUUUGGUUCUCAAUUCAGUUACUCCCCCAAAUCCCUUUCUAUCAAAAUUCCUAUCAUUCGUAAACCAUCGAGCUUCAAUGUAGAGGAUGGAAUCUUAUCCUAUCAGACUCGAUAUUUUGAGUAGAUACAUACAUGCAUAUAUAUAUAUAUACUUCUUUGUUCUGAAGAAUUAAUUCUGAAUUGUAUAUUAUCUCUUUAGAAGCAUUGAUAAAGACAGUUAACAUGGCUACAUUCAUAGAAAUUCUAGAGGUGUUACAUUUAAGGGUUCAUGUUGGGUGGGAAGUUGAACCUUGGCCUGGAAUUUUCCAAUCAGAAAGGGUUGGGAACUGACCAUGAAGUCAAAGUCUCUGAGAGGUUUUGUAAAUGGAACUUCUUUUUGUUGGAAUCCUCUGAAGGGAAGGAGGAGAGGAUUUUGAUAUCUUUGCUUACUGUUGAUGACAUUAGUCUUUAGAGGAGACUAGCACUGUAGAAAUUGAAUGGGGUUUGGACUUUUAAGACAUUUGGUCUUCUUUCCUGCAGCACAUCUAAGGAGAUAUCUGAUUUAGAAGGAGAGCUUUCAUCUAUAAGAAAUUUGCUGUCAACACAAGCAACAUUGAUUCAUAGUUUGGCUGAGGGAGUUCACAUAGAUUUGUCUUCUCCUAAAGCUUCUGAAGAUCCUACAGCUAAUGGCAUCUUAAAUAUUGAAGAUAGUGAGCCUUCGGAUCUGGAGAAAUGGUCAGUCGAAUUCCCUGAUCUCCUGGAUGUUUUGUUAGCUGAGAAGAGGGUAGAUGAAGCUCUGGCAGCACUUGAUGAAGGACAGCAUGCGGUAGCCGAAGGGAAGGAAAAAAAUUCAUUGAGUCCUGAGGCAUUUGCAUCUCUAGAGACUGCCAUUAUAGAGCGCAAGCAAAAGUUGGCUGACCAGCUUGCUGAGGCUGCUUGUCAACCCUCUACACAUGGUGCUGAACUUCGUGCAGCAAUAUUAGCUCUUAAAAAGCUUGGUGAUGGACCACGUGCUCAUACUUUGCUCCUUAAUGCACAUUUCCAAAGAUAUCAAUAUAACAUGCUUAGCCUUCACCCAUCAAGUACCUCAUAUGGAGGAGCAUAUACUGCUGCUCUCUCACAGUUGGUGUUUUCUGCCAUUGCUCAAGCUGCUAGUGAUUCCAUGGGUAUUUUUGGUGAGGAACCUUCUUAUACUUCGGAGCUUGUAAUGUGGGCUACAAAGCAAACAGAGGCUUUUGCGCUUCUUGUUAAAAGACAUACAUUGGCUUCUUCAGCAGCUGCUGGUGGUCUAAGGGCUGCUGCAGAAUGUGUUCAGAUAGCUUUAGGUCAUUGCUCAUUGUUGGAAGCUCGUGGCUUGGCACUUUGUCCUGUGCUUUUGAGACUCUUUAGACCUAGUGUUGAGCAGGCGCUCAAUGCUAAUCUGAAAAGAAUUGAAGAAAGCACUGCAGCUUUGGCUGCUGCUGAUGAUUGGGUGCUAACCUACCCCCCAGGUGGUACUAGGCAAUCUGGCUGGUCCUCUAGUUUAUCCGUUGGUAAUACAACAAUAUUUCAACAUAAACUUACGAGUAGUGCUCAUCGAUUCAAUUCAAUGGUCCAGGUGAACCAUUUAAUUUAAUAUAAAUAUAUCUUUGUCUUUUGUGUUUGUUGUGGAUGAACAAAUAUUUUUCCUAAGAAGUGGUUCCUUCACAUGAUAAUUGGAAAUCAAAAUUUGCAACAUAAAAAUGCAGUUAAGAUGUUAGCCUUUUGACACCUAGUAUAUUUUUUAACCAUUUGAUCAUGCUGGUUUAGAACUUACUUUGGAAUAUUUAUUUUGUUCCUAUGUGGUUUUAACGAGUCUUUACCUCUCUCUUUAAAUGUUUUGGGAUUUCUUCUAAUAAAAAUUCACUGUGCUGUUAAUUUUUUUUCCUCCAAUACAAUCACCCUUUGACAUGGUUCCUUGCCUGUUUUCAACAAAGUGUUUCCCAACUGCCUGCCUAUCUGUCUCUUGUUUUGGUUGAUUAGUAUUUCUCAAAUUUUGAUAUGUCAAACUGCUAAUUAAUGUUGUUUGAUGCCAUUUUCUUUGAUAUGAUAUUUAUUGGUCUUUAUUGAGGUGUAUUAGUUCAUUUCAACUCCAGUAUUAUAUCUCACUUGGUUAACAGUCGGGGGGUUGUAGAUUGAUGUUUUAUGCACUUCUCUUUGUUCAUUUUGUCAUCUAAUGGGAUUUAAUCCUUUCAUUAAUUAUGACAUCUAUUCUGCUUCCUAUUGUAGGAUUUCUUCGAGGAUGUUGGACAACUAUUAAGCAUGGAGUUGGGAGGGCAAACACUGGAAGGUUUGUUUCGAGUGUUUGACUCGUAUGUAAAUAUGCUCAUUAAAGCAUUACCCGGUUUGAUGGAUGAAGAAGCGAACUUUGAGGAUACUGGAAAUAAAAUUGUUCGAAUGGCUGAGACUGAGGCCCAACAAAUUGCAUUGCUAGCAAAUGCAUCAUUGUUGGCAGAUGAACUUCUUCCACGAGCUGCCAUGAAGCUGUCCCCAAAUCUGGCUAGUUACAAGGAUGACCAAUGUAGAAGAACUUCAGAUAGGCAAAACCGUCAUCCUGAGCAACGAGAAUGGAAGAGGCGCCUUGUGAAUUCAGUUGAGAGACUAAAGAAUAAGUUUUGUCAACAACAUGCCCUAGAUCUCAUUUUCACAGAAGAGGGUGAUAGCCAUUUUACUGCAGAAAUGUACAUUAAUAUGGAUAGUACUACAGAUGAGGUGGAAUGGUUCCCAUCUCUAAUAUUUCAGGUGAUUUUGAUGAUUCUUUAUGUAUAUAUUUCAGAUGAAAUACAUUUUCUCUUCGUGCUUUGUUUAUUUAGUUUGAACAGGUUUCUUAAUUUACCACUCAACUUUGCUUUUAACAUCUCAUAGCACCUUGUUCAUAAGGUUAUAUUUCUUAUUUCUCACUUCAGAUUUUGAAAUCUUUGUCGAUUAAUAAUAACUGAUUUGUAUGUCAUACUUGAUGCAGCUUUUAUUCAAUGUUUUUAGUAUGUUGGUUAGAGAGUUCUCACAUGCUGGGAAAAACUGUUGUUUGCUGUAGUUUUGUUCUUGUUUAGGCUUUGUUAAUGGCCGUAGUUUAUGGUAUCAUAUUUGCAAAAUCCUAGUGAAUGAGGGAGGAGUCUUGGGAGCUCCAUGUAAAUACCUGUACAAAAUCAUGUUUUCUACUAGAUUUUGGGUAAACAAAACUACAAGGUAACAAAUGGAUCUUAGUCUCUUGCUUGCUCAUUCUCCUGUUUUUCUAUUAUUCUUUGAUUUUAUUUACAGUCUAGGUUUUGUAUGUUAGCAAGGGAUUCGCUCAUUUUUUUAUGUGCUUUUUUUCUUCAAUAUUGUUAUCGUUCAGGAACUCUAUGCAAAACUAAACAGAAUGGCUAGCCUGGCAGCAGAUAUGUUUGUAGGAAGGGAAAGAUUUGCUACAUCACUAUUGAUGCGGCUCACCGAAUCUGUCAUCAUAUGCCUUUCCGAAGAUCAAAGCUUUUGGGAUGAUAUUGAGGAAGGACCAAGACCUUUAGGUCCACUUGGAUUACAACAGGCAUGUAUUCUCAAUAUCUUUCUUCUUCCGUUUUUAAAUUUAUAUUAAAUUGUUAAAAAUCGGACUUCUUUUGUACAUGUGCAGCUGUAUUUGGAUAUAAAAUUCGUCAUAGGCUUUGCUUCCCAAGGUCGCUACCUAUCUAGGAAUUUGCAUAGAGUUGUCAAAGAAAUAAUCACUAAAGCAAUAGCUGCAUUUGCUGCUACCGGGAUGGAUCCAAAUAGGUAUGCUCUGAUAGUUAAUUUUCUUUUUAUUACGAGUUGUUUUCUCAUAAUUAUUCUCACCCUUAGGCUAUACAACUAAAAUGCUUGUAUAUUCUGAAUAAAUGCGCAAGUGUUGGCAGUGGCAUCGAAGCAUUCUGAUUUAUAUGUUAUUGUAUGUCAGCGUGCUGCCCAAUGACGACUGGUUCGACGAGAUAUGUCAAGAUUCAAUGGAAAGAUUAAGUGGAAAACCAAAACCCGAGCCCGAGCGGGCUCUAAACAGUCCCACCGCCUCGGUUUCAGCGCAAUCUAUCUCAUCUGUUAGAUCGCAUGGGAGUUACUAGCCAUUUCUUUAACCUUUGUACAUUUGACGGCUAACACAAUUGGUAAUGGAUCUCUCUUUCUUCUUCGUUUUUUUUUUUUUUUUUGACUAUUAUAAUCAUUUGUUGAAUGUAGUAAUAUACCUGCAUGGUCAUAAAGUUGGGGUUCCUUUGAUUUUUCUGCAUUCAUUAGUUUUUGUAAAUGUUUGUAAUUCUUUUAUACAAGUAUUAUUGGAAAUAAAUUCUGAUGAAAUAAAACGAAUUCAACCUCUUUUUAUAUAUAUAUAUAUAUACUUAUUGCAAUUUGAGUAGUCCGUUUGAUGUUGUAACUAAAAUCAUACAAAGGAAGGAGGUUAAUGUUUUGAAAAAUUAUGUCAGGAUAUUUAUACCUAAUUUAUUUAUUUUAUCUAUACAUUUCUAAAUUAGAUCCAAUUCAAUUAUAUUGAAUUAAAUUGAUUUCAAUAUGUAAUGAUAAUGAUCUCAAAUUAAAGGCAAAUUAAUUAUGCCUUUCAUGUAUUACCCAUAUUCUCGUAUCACACUAUAUGUUGUAGUGUAAAUGUUUAAAUAUUUUUGGUAGGUGGAUGUGUGCCGCACACUCCACAUUUUUAGUCACCCGAUCAAGCAUUCUUAUUCUAUUGAAUCACACCGGCUCUUCAUAAAAUCAAAUUGAAGAGUCUGCCAACUUCUCCCCAAAAAAUUGAAUCCCUCAAUAAUAAGCGAAGUAAUCAAGAAAAUAAAGGAGGAAAAAAUUGUACCUAUUGAUAGAGACAAAUGGACAUUAUUGAAUGAAAAAAGUAGAUAGUAUUCCCUUCAAAUUACGGAAUCAUAAUAAAAAAGUAGAAUUUCCAGCUAAUUUAUUAGCUCCGAUGUUUAGAUUUUCUAGGGAGUUUGGUGUUUAAGAGCUGCCUCACAACAUCUCUCAUUGCAGGUCUUCUGCUUGGUUCCUUUUCAGUACAUCUCAAAGCUACCAAAACCACAUUAAUAACCUGCUCCCUCACUUCCCAUUCCAUCAACUCAUCCACAAUCCUCGAAUCCACGAUCCUCUCGAUUUCGGUUUCGAUUUCACCGCUCAAAACUGAUCUGACCCACCCCACGAUAUCAGUCUCCCCCAUAAAUGAUGGAUCCAAUGCCCUCUUCCCGGUUAUCAGCUCGAGCAAAACCACCCCAUAGCUAUACACAUCCGCUUCUUUGCUCCAUGUUGUUCUGAAUGCAUUUUCUGUCAAAAACACAACCCCAUUUUAAUCAUUACAUGGAAUGUCAUCUUUAUAUUAAAAAAGAAGAAGAAGUUAAUUGCACCAGACAUACUCGAACUACGAUCAAAUUUGAAAAUUAGUCUUCAAAUUGAGUAUUUAAAUUAAAUAUCAUAAUUGAAUAAACCAAAAUUUUCCAUUGGUUUCAUUGAAUGGUUUGAACGUUAAAUCGCUAGCACUUGAGAUGUAGUAUAUUCAAAUAUGUGGAUCAAAUUGUGAACACAUGUGUACCUAUUACCUAAACAAAUUGGAUAUGCCGUGAUAAAAUAUUUACAAUUUGAUCCAUAUGUUUUAAAAAUGCGCUACGUUAAACCAAAUUGACAUUUAAUGCCUAUAUUGAUAAUUAAGUUGACAGAAGGACCUGAUUGGCUGAUUGAUUCAAUACUAAUACUUUAAGGAUGCAAUUAAAACAUUUUAAGUUUAAGGACCAAUUUAUAAUCUAAACAAUAGUUUGAGAAUGUUUGAUGCAAUCAACACUUUUAACAAAUUUGAAUCAAGGUCAAAGUUACUAUGCAUACCUGGAGCUAUAUAUCCAACCGUGCCCGCAACUACCAUAGACGGUUCGGAAGCCACAGACUCAUCAAGGAGCUUAGCAAUUCCAAAAUCGGAGAUGUGUGGUUCCAUAUCGGAGUCAAGGAGGAUGUUUUCUGGCUUGAUGUCUCGAUGAACUAUACCGGGAUCACAAUCAUAAUGGAGAUAUUCCAACCCAUGAGCCGUUCCUAGUGCUAUUCUAUACCGAGCACUCCAUUUCAGGAUUUGUACCUCAUUUGUUGUAUGAUCAUUAUUAUUAUGUAAAACAUCAUGUAGGCUCCCAUUUUGCAUGUACCUGUAUAAGAGUAAUCCAUAAUCUUUUCUCAACCAAAAAUCUUCUAAUCUCACCAGGUUUCGAUGCUUAACUUUCCCAAUAGUUUCGAUCUCUCGAACCAUGCUUUGGUUUCCUCCUUUAUGCUUUGCUACAUUGAUCCUUUUUACAGCAAAAUCACUCCCUGGACUCAAUGAUGCUCUAUAAACGACUCCAUGUGCUCCUCUGCCGAUAAUAUACCUCUCAUUUAAAUUCUCGGUAGCUUCCAUCACUUUGUUCAAUAAGUUCGAUGCGCCUUCUUCGACACAGACCUCAUGUUCUUGCUUUUUUAUCCUGCAGAAAAUGAAUAUCGAAGCCACAACUAGGAGUGCCACAACAAGUAGAGAUGAACCGAGGGCUAUCAUUGCAACUUCCAAUUUGGUAAGGCCCCUUUGAUUUUUCAUUUCAUUACAAGGAUUAAGGUAAUUUCUUGUAGGACAAGUUUCCUCACCUGAUGAAAGACAAUCAAUGCAUAACCCGGGAUUGCCGAGGAAAGAUGAUGAGGACAAGUUCAUGAAACGCAUCAUUGUUGUCGGUAUCGGACCAGUGAAGUGAUUGUAGGAAACAUUGACCUCAACCAAGGAAUCCAUUCCAUCAAGAACUGUUAAAGUCCCUGUUAGAUUGUUAUUAGAUAAAUCCAAUCUAACCAGCUUGAACAGAUUUCUUAGCUCCGAGGGAAUCUCUCCAGUCAAACUAUUGCUGCUCAAAUUCAAGCCAUAAAUCAGAUUCUUCAUAGCUCCAAUCGACGAAGGAAUACUACCACCAAAUGGAUUUCCCCCGAGCUGCAGGUCCGAAAGCAUUUCGAGUUCCAACAAGAAAGAAGGAAUGCCACCAGUAAAUCGGUUUUCACUCAGAAUAAGAGUUGACAGCUGUUUCCAGCUCGUCAAAGCAUUCGGAAUCAAACCAUUCAGCGAAUUAAACCCCACGUCGAACUCUACCAAUCUGCUACAAUUUGACAACUGAGAUGGCAAAGAACCUUGUAAAAGGUUGUGAGAAACAUUCAAAGUCUGAAGAUCUGCUAGGUUGCUUAACUCCGAAGGUAUAAAUCCCGUGAAGCGAUUCAUGGACAAAUUGAUAGAAGUAAGGUUUCUACAGUUCCCCAAGCUGGAUGGAAUUGGACCGGAGAUGUCAUUUUCACUAAUAUCCAUGUGUACAAGAUUUUUAUUCUCUGCAAACUCGGGCAGCACACCGUUGAGGUUAUUCUGCUUAAGGAUCAAUCUCCACAGAGUUUUACAGCCUCCGAUAUCAUCGGUUACACUGCCGGUAAGCUGAUUUUGACCCAAAUUCAACACCCUUAACUUCUUUCCAAAGCAAAGAAAUGGAGGGAUUGUACCACUGAACAUAUUGUUUGUGAAAUCCAACUGCUGUAAACUAGCAUUAAUCCCCAAAUUCCGAGGUAUGACCCCGAAGAAACCAUUAUCGUACAACGAAAUGUUUUUCAAUUGCUUGAACUCAGUGAUCUCUAAAGGCAAUUCCCCUGUUAGGUUGUUCUUAUAAACAAGUAAAUACUCUAAGCUUGGAAUCCUCCAAAUACUAAUAGGAAUCUCACCACUCAAAUGGUUCAUAAACAACUCAAGAUCAUUCAACUCACUUAACAUCCCUAAUUCAUUAGGGAUUUCACCUUUGAGUUGAUUAUCAUACAAUAAUAGCUGUUUCAAAGACUUACAUUUCCCAAGCUGAAAUGGGAUUUCACCAUAUAAAUGGUUUUCAGAAAGAUCAAGCUUUGAAAGCUGAUCUAAUAAGCCUAAUGAAGAAGGAAUAUAACCUGUUAAGUUACUAUGUACAAUAACCAGCUCAGUCAAGGUGCUACAAUUGGCUAACCCUGGUGGUAUCCCCCCAUUGAAACUAUUGAAUGAUAAAUCCAAAACACUCAAAUUUUUACACUUGGUAGGACUUGGGAUUUCACCAUUGAAACUAUUGUGACUCAAAUACAAAUACAUUAAGUUUUGGAGAUUCAUAACACUGGAAGGCAAACCCCCAACAAAAUAGUUCCCAUCUAAAAAAAGUUCUUGUAGUUUACUACAAUUCCCUAUUGACUCUGGUAUGGUACCUAUCAACCCAUUAUCAUACAAAUCUAAAGCUACAAGCUCGCUCAAGUUACCAACAUUCAUAGGUAUUGAACCACUCAAGUUGUUAUUAUUCAAAUACACGGACACCAAACCAGUAACAUGAAACAAUGUUUCUGGUAUUUCACCACUCAAGGAAUUGGAAAACAAGUUCAAGUAAUUCAGCUUUUGCAAGGAAUUGAAAGUAUUAGGCAUUGGUCCAAUGAGUUCAUUGUUAGACAAAUCCAAGUGUUGAAGGGAACUACAAUUGGCCAAAGCUGAGGGUAUUGGACCAAAGAACCUAUUGUUGCUCAAAUCAAGGGUGUUCAAAUGGUGUAAAGCACCAAUUUGAGGUGGCAAUUGGCCUGAAAUGGCUAAGUUUGUAAGGUUAAGAGUAAGGACAUCAUGGGUUUCAGAAUCACAUUCAACACCAACCCAUUUGCAUGGAUUUGGAUCAGAAGCAUUCCAUGAAGAGGUUAAAGAAGAAGGUAAGGAUGACCAGUGAGGUAACAAAGAAAACAGGGUUUCCCCAUUAGAAUUCAAAGCAUAAACAAAAAGACCAGUGUUUUGUUCUAAAAACAAGAAACACAAGAGCAAGGUUAAUGGAAAGAGAAAGUUACCUUUCAUUAUUCUCCUCCAAAGGGUAAGAAGGACAUAGAUUCUUACCUUUCUUAAUGCAUACUCUCUCAAUAUAUAUACACGCACGUAGCACGUAUGUAUGAACUGGAGAGUACAGAUGGGUGGAAAACUCACCAAGACCAAAGUCCAAGCAUUCAUUGACCAGCAGCAAUUUGAAGUGAAGAGAGACAAGACGAUAAUAAAUACAGAGGGAUAAUAUAAUUUUUCGCCCUCAACUUGGCGUCUAGCCCCACAUUGGUUUUUUUCUUUUUUUCACUUUUAACACUUGACUAGACAAUUUAGUUUAUUUUGUACUUUUGGAUAAGAAAGAAUAUAAAAGUUUGAUCACAUAGUAUUUUAAAAUUAUAUAAAUUUUGAUUUAUUUUAUAUCUUAUUAUCAUUUAAAAAUUUUAAAAAUUAUAUAAAUUAUCUGAUGAUGACGUAAUAUAAUCUUAAAAUAUCACAUUUAGUAUUUUAAUAAAUGAACCAAUAAUUGAAUCAAUCAAAAUACUAAUUUGUGAUUGAACCAAUUUGAUUGAUUUGACUAUUAGAGUAAUAAUAAGUAAUUAAAUAAUUAUAAAAAUUAAAAAACAUUAAAUCAAUUCAAUAUAUUUAAGUGUCUAUUUUUGUUUUAACUUUUUUUUUCAAUUUUUUACCAAUUUUAAAUAAUUUUCGAUUUAAUCUAUUUGUUUAAAUUGCAAUAUCUCAGUCCAACUAAUCAAUUUAAUUAUGUUUCAAUAACAUUGAUUAUAUCAUUAAAUCUUAACAAAAUUUAAUUUUAAAAAUUAAAAUAGAUCUAAUUAUUAAAUUUAAAUAUUAAAGUGAAUAAAAAAAAAAAGGUAGUUUUCAGUUACCAAAAAUUAUAUUAUAGGUAAUACAGAUAUUAUAGAAUUGGGUCAUCGUCAGAUAGCUGUAGAUCAUGUCAUGGGCGGGGGGCUUAGUGUGAAAUGGAAGAUACUUGCUUUGCUUUACCAUUUUUUCAACGCGGUUUCAGUUUCAAAGUGGCUGUGGGAAACGCAGCUUUUUAGUUAUAAAAUUAAUGAAACACUAGUGUUUUUAUAGUCUGUGUAAGGGAGAAGUGACGUUACCCUGCACUCUGUAAAACAUAUUAAAUGUCAUCCCCCUGCAAUUCCAUUUUCCAUUGUUUGCCACUUGGCAAGCCUCCUGCUUUUCUUUUUUUAAAGAGAAAAUUUAGGCAAAGCCGAUUCCCUUUUUUAUGAUUUUAAGUCGUAUUAUUAUUUAAUUUAGGCAAUCCUUUUUGGUCCCAUUUUUUUUUUAACAAGUACAUACCAACUUAUACAAGAUUAGUACAAUAUUUUAAUAUUUUAAAUUUAUUUUUAUAAUUACAUUUAAAGGUAAAAAAACAAUCAUUUGAUCAAAUUAUGAAAGAUAACUAAUAAUUUUAAAAUUAAUUUUUCAUAUAUGUGCAAUUAAAAAUUAUUUUCUUGUAUAUAUAAUAUAAACGAAAAAUAUAAAUAAAUCUAAAAUAGUAUAUUAAAAAAAUGUCUCAAAACACAUACAUGGAAUUGAGUUGGAUUUAGAUAGAUUUAACAUUGAUUUAUGUAAAAUCAGUGGAUGCUGAGAGGGAUAGGCCCUUUAAAAAGGUGAGUUAGAUGAGUUGUAAAGCUAUACAAUCAUUUAUCCACUUAAAGCCAAAUCUCUAGAUUAUUCUUAUUAAAUUUAAAUUCUUCUAUCCUAAAAAAAGUUCUUCUAGUAAAUUGAGCUUUUCAAGAGUCAAAAGAUUUAUAAUUUUGUCAUCACUUACUUCUAGUAAAGGAAAAAAAAUCUAAUUAGACAAGUUUCCAUUAUUUACAUACAACUAUGUCCCAAAAAGAAAUUAUUUAUAUACAACUUGUCUAAUUAGAGAUAAUUGAAAGUCUUAUAAAGAAAAUAAAAUUGUUUCAAGCACCCAUAUUAAUGCUUGUGGUUCGUGGAUAACAAGCUUUAAAGAUUCUUUAUUUCUUUUAUUGAAUUAUAUUGAUGCUAGUGAUGCUCUUAAUUUGAGUUUGAGGUAUAAAUUUAUCUAUGAUUUGAGUCACUCUAACUCAAAAAUUUAUUCAAAAAUCUAAGAAUUUAAAUAAAAAUAUAAAUCUUAAAAAUAAUUUUGAAUAAAAAAAUAAAACCCAUUUAAAAAAAACAAAUCGAGUUUCAAGCCCAAAUUUACAACAAAAAAAUUGUUUUAUUAUUAUUUUCUCAUCAUUUUACUCUCAUCUCACUAUUAUAUUCUUAUUUUUAAAUAUUAUAUAAUUCAUAUUUUAUUGUUAAUUUUGUUAUUUAUUAAACUCUCGAAUUCUGAAUUUUAAUAGUUUAGGUUGAAAUCAAUUAGGCUUAUAGCUCAAUUCUCAAACUUAAGUUCAAAUCAUUCAAAAUUUUAAUGAAUCCAAGUUUUGAAUUACUUCAAAUUAAAAAGCUCAGAUAUGUUUUCAAAUUAGAAUCUUUUUUUAAAACAAAUUAUUAUUAGACUUUUAACUAUAAAAUCCAUGAUUUGACCACAAAUAGCAGGUGAGCGAGCAAAGCAUACAUGAAAUCAAGAGUUAUGUGAGCUUCGCAUACUCCACUAUAAUACUGAACAACUCUACAAAGCUAAAACAGUCGUAAAUUAUUGUACUUCUAUUGUAACCAAAGGAUAAAAGAAUAACCAGUCAACCACUGUUAGAAAAUUUUUAUUAACUUCUCUCUCUUUUUACCAUUUUUCAUUUCCUUUCACAGUGCACUACGCUACACUAAGCUACACUAAUGUUCUGCAUAAAAAAACCCCAAGUAAAUAAAAAGACCAGGGGCCUCCCUAAGGAAUUGACUGCCAAAAAGAACACAGUUAUGUUCCUUUUGACCAAAACAUUAAAAAAUAAUAUAUAUUGCAAUUAUUUACUUCCAAGUGCUGUCAGCUAAUCAUCCACAUAUGGAUGUUUUCGCUUUUGACUCUUUGACUAAUACUAGAAGUUGCAUGGUUCAGACCCUGUAAUUGUCAUCUCUUUCUCCAUUUAUAAAAUUUGUACCCAAAUGAAAAAAAAAAAAUCUAAAAGGUUACCUGAAACAAAACAUCAGCUGAAGCACUGUUUACCUCAAGCAGAGUAGCUUAUCCUGCAUAUAUAUGUAUAUAUAUAUCAUAGACGCUUAUAUCUAUCAAGCCCUAAAAGUUCAAAAGAUGAUUAUCAUCCUUUCACUUCAAUGGAAUAAAUGGUGUCAAUGGCUAUGGCAAUGGUUAUGCUUCCCUACAUUUUCUCAGAUAAUAAUAGUGCCAUGAUAUGAAAAUCUGGAUUUUCUUCAAAUGAAAUGUUAUUGAUGUAGUGUAUUUUGACCGUAGAGGCAUAUAUACUUCCGAAUAGUUCCUAUAAAUCUUAUGUUUUGAAGACCCCUAAUAUGUUAAAAAGCAUGGCAAUCAUCAUUUUUCAGUUUACCGAAACAAAUAGUGCCUAUUGGCCAUGGCAAUGGUGCUAACAAUUCCAUCUAUAGAAUGAAAAAAUGGGAUGGUUUUCUGCGCUGUUUACUUCAAGAUAGUGCCAUGCACUGAAUGUCAUGUUAGUAAUGUGAUGUAAAUGGAUCAACCCCAGAUGUAUGCUGCGUGAUAUAGAGCAUCGGUAGUAGUCCAGUAUCAUGGAAUGGUCAAUGUUCAAUAUGAGGUGGAAUAGCACACAAAUUAACCAAACCUGUAGAUAAUGCACUACUUCUAAAUAAUAUUAAAGUUAUCUGAAAAGCCUAUAAAGUUAACCAGGCAUAACAAAUGCUGCAGACACAUGCAUGUCUUAGGUAAAUUCAAAUAAACAUGAGCAAAUGGUGUGUUCAUGAUACCGCUAUGUGCAUUCAAAGACAUGAGAAGGGAUGAUAAUGCCGAUGGUGACAAUGAAAUGGGUGCAUGCAAUAGCUGCAUGAUGCAUCCUAGCAUGUAGCAGUUGUAUUUGUUGGAGCAUAUAAAGAGAACAUCCCCUCAUCUACUGGUAAGUCAUAGCUAGUGGAGCCCCAUUGGCACCAGGAGAAGCAAUGGGAUGAUUGGAGUCUUUCCUUUUACCGAAAGGAUUCUUGGAAUAUCUAUGAUCAAGUCAAGAAAGACAACCAUGUUUCACCGAAGCAUUUAUGUAGUAAAGUUACAGAUGAAACAUGUAAAGCUAAUUACAUAAUUUCAUUAUGUUCAUAUAAAGCUUAAUGUGGAGUCCCUUUAUUUUCUAAUUUUAUUCAUUGGCAUUCAACAUUAUAAAACCGUAGAUAUACAUACCAAAAAGAAUCAAAGAAUUCUCUACCUAACCACACUCUUUUUAGAGAUUGAAGUUAUAAGAAUCAAGAUUUGCCAUUAAAAAACCAAUCUUCACAAAAACAAUUGUGGAAAUAUCACCUUUUAACCCACAUUGAGAUGCCGAGAAGCAGUAGAAGUGGUAAUUAUUAGGUAGAAAACCUAUCUGGAUUGUGCAACAGACAUGAAUCAAGCCACAAGCCCAUACACAUCACAUGUAUAAAACACCACUAUAUAUGCAAUAGUUGCCAUACCAAAGAAACAAAGCAAAGGAAAACAAGAACAUUUAAAACAGUAAAGCCACAAAUGCAAAAAGGAUACUGUAUUCGCAUGCCAAUAGAACCAGAACUAGGGAUCACAGCACCCUGCAAACUGUGGUGCACAUUACUUGCAGAAUUCACAUCCUGCAAAUUGGGGAAACAAACACUAAGCUUAAGAAUGAAAACCCAAGAAAAUUGCAUUCGAUGAAUAACUGGUUACAUCCAGGUGGGUUAAGAGAAGAAAGGAACUUACUUCAAACUCUAUAAAGCAAACAGUAUGCCUUUCUUGUCUCAAGAUCUUCAUUUGCUUAAAACCAGGUUGACUGCAUAAAGCAUAAGUACGAAAUAAACCAGGAUGUCAUCAGAUAUCAACCCAAAUUCACACAAAUAAAAUUGACCAUUAAAGUAGCCAGAGGCUAAGAUGUUCUUACGCGCUAAAUAAGCCCCGUAGUUCUUCCUCAUUAAUAUUCUCUCCAAGAUUGCCAAUAAAUAAGGUAUUGCAAGGAGGGUUAUCUUUGGUGUUCUGCCAAUCAAAGAUAGUUUCAUUUAGUGCCAGAAAAAAAACAUAUAAAGGAUGCUGCAUCCCAAGAUUUCCCAGAAGGAAUGAGAAAAAGUCCAGCAAGCCAACUAUAAACGACCAAUAAAAAAUUAUACUAAAUCUAAACCAAAGGAGAAAGUGGCACGUGGAGCGUAGAAAUUACCUGAACAGGCACAUAACUGCUAGGAGCUGGUACAGGAGCAGGGGUAGGCAUUGGCACUGGAGGAACAGGAUAACCUCCAUAAGGAUCAUAUGGAGGAGUUGGAGAUAAAUACCUAUGCCAAAUACAAAAGCGUUCAACUUAACAAGCAAUGCUGUACCUACACCUUAAACUAUCUAUGACUAAGCAAACUAGACCAUAGCAUAGCAGUAUCCAACAUCCUGACAUAGCUUCUUACCCGUGUGGGCCCCAAACAGGGGCAGGAGGAGGGUGAAACGGAGGUGGAGUAGUAUAAGCACUGUGUGAAUAAUCGCCACCAGUUCGCAAACGUUUGCUUUGAUCAUACGAAUUAGAAUCUGCUACAAUUCCUACAGAAUAAAUAUCAACAAAGUAAAAGAAUGAUCUUUUACAUAAAUAGAUUCCUACAGAAUCUGCUACAAAGCUCUCCCUGUAAUAACAAAGACAAAUUAACAAGGAUACAUUUUUUGUACUCUCCUUACAAAUAUGAUUUAAAACACUUCCUUUCAAAAACCAAUAAUUGUAUCUAUUUUUUCUCUAUUUCAAAACUACACAUUCAGUUGCUUUUAUUCCCUCUUCUGUAUAUUUAGAUAUGGAUCAUUUUCUUAAUAUUUACUUGAUAAAAUUACUUAUCAUUUCACCCACAAAAUGGGUUGCCAAGGACUGGUAUUUAUUUCCUUCUCUUCAACAGUUCCUCUUCUUGUCAUGGUCUGAAUUGUAAAGCCCGAUUACAAAUACAGGAGGAAUUUAAAGAGCAGACCUCUAGAACCAAUUGACUCAAUCCUUUUCUGUUCUUUGAACCAUCAUCUCAUUGUCUUCUAUACUUCAGGAUCAUUAGGAACAACUUUACGUAUUUUGCAUUACUUUAUCUCCAGAUUAAAACAUUUUUUGUCUGCAUGUCUCCAUGCAAGCCUUUUUUCAAAUUUGGCAUGAUACAAGGUGUUAAAGAUGACUCACCUCUUUUAACAAAUAGAUUCUUCUUCGCCAUCUCUAUGUGCAAUACCGAUUUUGACUCAGCAUCAAAAACCAUUUCCUAAUACCCCCCAGCAUCAGACAAAAUCAGUGCUUUGAAAAGGAUGACAUAUCUUAGAUGACUAAAUAAAACCGGAAGUUAAAUACAUUUAUAAAUACCUGAAGGGCAUCUUUGGCAGCAAUUGCGAGUUGUGCACUUGAGAAGAGAGCAAAACCCAUAGGUUUUUCUCCCUUGUAGUUCACCUGCGAAGCUUCAUACCCUGGAAGCCAUCUCAGUAAAUUCUGUAGCUCUCUCUCUUUGACGUCUUCAGGAAGACCAGUAAUGAAGAUAGUCCGAACCUGGAUCCAGAACAAGUAUUAAUAUUAUUUUUCGAUAUACAAGGAAAAAGCAGCAAACUUGUACAUGCAAAGUACAAAUGCAUGCACAACAAACAUUUGUAGACACCAGAGUUACCUAAUUUGGUUAAUCCCAUUCAAAUUGCAAACCAAAUUGAUUAUGAUGUUCUAGAUAUUAUGUUAAGAAUGGGAACCUUUUCUUUUUAUGGAUGAUUAUCGAAAAUCCAUUUAAAAAGUUAAUUGAAUCUUCUUUAAAGACAAAAGUUAAUAAUUUUUUAAAUAACACAAAAUAAUGAAUGCAUGAAAAAAAAAGUAAUUGCAACCUUCUAUGCUCCAAAGAAUCGAAUUUCUUUCCUUCUAAAUGAAUCAAGUACCACAUUUAUCGUACCAUUUUUUUUUAAUAAAUAGUUAACUAUGUUUUAGUUAUCUAUCUGCAAACCAAAUUGAUCUGCGUUGCAGGUAACUCUGAUACAGUCAUAUAACUACCUAAUAACCACAUAUAUACAAAAAACAAUUCUUAUUUAGCUCUUACUUCAUCUUAUUUUCAGCUUCUUCCACCAAUGUUACUAAAAAAGAAAUGAAAAAAAAAUCUUUCACCAGAACAUAACCAAAUAAUUGAACUGUUGUAAAUUGUAAUGCAAAUUCAAUUAGAAUCGUUCAUUAAAGAAACAAAAUCUUUGAAUGGUAUAUGUUUUUAGUCACAGAAAUGAGUUUUUUAUUGUCAAUUAUAAAAGUUAUUAUUUUAAUCUUGGAAAAGAAAAAAGCAAGCUCAAAAAGAAAACCAAAUAUUAAAGAGAGAAACGAUGGAAUCUAAAAAGAUAAGCAGAGCAAAAAGAAACUAUUAUAUUUGCAGAUUCUCAAAGAAAACUCAGAGAGAGAGAGGCAAUUAGGGUUCUGUCACCAUCAAAUCGUGCAAUUAAGGCUCAGAAACUAAGUCUUGAAAAAGAAAAAAAAAGGAGGAGGUAGAGUAAAUGGAGUGAGAGAGAUUUGACCUCAUCAUGAGAAGAAACGGGUGGAGGAUGGUGGACAGGAGGAGGCGGUGGAGGAACCGCUGUUGCUGUGGCUGGAGGGGGCGGAGGAGCUGGUGCCGGCGGCCACUGCUGGUGAUAAGGGUGGAUUCCAGCACCCGCCAUGUCUAUAUCUCGAUAGAAAGUAGAAACCUGAAACCCUAAACCAAUACUCGACGUUCAAGAGAGAAAGAAAGAACAAACUACGAACCCAAAAGAAUGAUACGAUAAUGGAAAGGAAACCCAAGAAAUAUAGCCUUUUUAUUUUGUUUAUUUAUUUGAAUAGAUUUAAUUACAAUCACAAAUCUAAAUAAUAAAUAAUACAGGUCCAAUUAAUUAUAAUAAUUUCAAUAUUAAAAUGAAAAUAAAUCUCAACAUUUCUCUCGAAUGAUGAGAUUCAAAUCUCAAUGUCGACUUAAUUUGAGAGAUGAGACUCGAAUUUAUUAAUUAAAAUGCAUAUUUUUUUAGCACAAUUAUUUUGUUCACGGCCAACAAAUAAAUUUAAAAUAAUAUCGUUAGCGCGGAAUGAGUUUUACUUUGAUUAGUAUAGAGAUUAGUUUUGAAUUGAUUAGAUCAAAAAUCUGUAUAAAUCAAUUGAACUGGAUAAAAAUUGAUCAAACUGGUAAUCAAACUAGUUAAACUGACAAUUGAACCAAUUUUUUAAAAAGGUAAUUUUUUAAAUUUUUAAUAAUUUUUUAACAGGACCGGUGACUUGACAAAUUCAACCACCAAUAAAAUUUAAAAAACAUUGAUGCAUUUGAUAGUUUUAGGCAUCGUUUCAAAAGCAACAUCGUCAUUGGUAAUAGGCAAUUAUAAUCACUUAUAUGUAACAAUUUUAGUAUGGCAUAUGUAGGUAAAAGUAUUAUAGAGGUUAUUAUAUUAAGAGUAAAAUUACAUUUUAUUCUAUUUACUCAAAAAUGAGUAAAUUAGUCUUAAUUCUACAAAUCAAAUAGUAAAUCAAUCUUUUAUGUUAAAAGUUUAAUCAAUUUUUACUAUUAAAAACUAGUCUGAUUAAUGAAAUAACUAAGCAAUUACAUCUGACGUGCCACAUGCACUUUAUGUUGACGUACAAUGAUCAGUUUGUAAUAGUAAUGAGAUUUUUAAUAGAAAUGAUUAAUUUGCUCUUUGACGUAACACAUAGGGACCCAUUUGAUAUUAUUUUAAUAGAUUGAGUAAAAUGUAAUCUGACUUUUAAUACAAAGAACUCCAUAAUAUCUAUACCAACAUUAAAGAAAUUUAGUGUGAAUGCACACAUGGUUGAUAGUAAUCCAAUUAAUGUCAUAAUUAAAUUAAUUAAAUCAAUAAAUUAUAAUUUAAUUAAUUUGAUUGUGGGUUGAAUCUAAAACUAAACAAUAAAUAUAAAUAAAUAAUAAUCUAAACAUUUAUCUUAUAAAUUAUAACAACAAAAAAAUAUUUAAAUUAAUUUCAAUCAGAUUUUGAGAAAUUUACUUUAAAAAAGUUUUUUUUUUUUUUAAAUCAGAGCUGAAAAUUUAUUUUUAUAACUUAGAAUGGAGGAAAAAAAUUGACCUGAUUGCCACUAAACAUGACAAGAAUUCUUAUUUUUUAAACAAUCUUAUUGUAAAUUCUAUUCCUUUUUACAUAAAGUGUUUAGAACUUAUAAAUAGGAGGAUAAUGUGCUUCAGUACACUCGAUCUCACAUCUUAUUACAUUGACAACAAUACCUAUACUAAUCAAAUUAGGAUAAGAAUUAUUUAAUACACGAAAUAGUAGUGUUAAUGAAUAAAUAAUGUACAAUACAUCAAUUAAAUUACAUAAUAUGUAAAUAUCGAGGGUUAAAAUUUUCUAAAAUCAACAUUAAAUUUAUAUAAUUUAUAAAUAUUAAGGUUCAAAAUUAUUAUUAUACCUUUUUUAAAAGAUGCUAUCGUUAACCAACUAUAACAACAGCAGAUAAAAUCAUAUAAUUCACUGAUAAUUUUGUAAUUUUUUUAUAAUUAAAUAACUAUUUUUUUUUAUAAUUUGAUGGAAAAAAAAUACUAAUAAUUAUAAUUAUCCAAGAAAAAUAAUACCCUCACUAGUUUCUUCCGCUCCAUUUCAUUCAAAGAAGGAUAGCAAUUUCAUAUAUAACAUAUACAUGCAUAUACAUAUAUAAUGAAUUUAAAAAAAAAAAGUGUACAAUGAAUGCGUUAAUGGAGGGAAAACGAUCGAUAAGGGUGGGUCGCCGCCCGGCUGUGAGACGAUACACAAUCCCGACGUGUUAAGACGAUGUUGCAACUACUUCUUCUUGUUGACGCCGUCUUCUAAGUUCACCCUCGAGAACGUUCUUUGCCGCCUCCGCCGUCAUCGCCGAUUUCUCCGCCAUCUCUGUCGCGGCCUUGAUUUCCUCAAUUGCCUGCAAAUUCUCUUCCGCCUUCUCAUCCGCUUCGUUUUUGCUCGCGUUUAUCGCUUCCAGCUCCGCCAUUGCAGCAGCUAUUUUCUGCUCCGAUGAAUUCCCAUACUCCUCUACUUUCUUUUUCAACGCUUCGAAUUCUUCUUUGGAUAUCUUUAUCUUUCCCCUACCGGUCCCCUCUUCUAAUAGCCGCAUUUCGUCGAGCGCCUUCUUCUCCGCCGCUUUCGCUUCCUCGGCUUGUUGUAAAGCGAGCUCUAGCUUUUGCUUUAAGUCCUUCACUGCCGUUUCAGCCUCUUCGGCUUCUUUCUUCAGAAUUUCCAUGUUCUUCUUCAUCUGUUGAGUUUCAUUUCUAGCAUUCUCUGUUUCUAAUAAAAGCUGUUGAAGCCUAAUGUUAUGAUCAGCACUAAGAGCUUCUUUUUCACUUUCAUUUCGGAUCUUCAUUUCACUCUCUCGUUGUUGCCUCUUCACCUCUUCAAGUUCCAUCCUAAUGGAGCUCACUAAAUUCCGAAGGGAACACUCUUCGUCGGCCACCAUUUGCAGCAUUGUCGUAGCUUCGUUAAGUUCCGAUGUCAAAACCCUAACGGAAUCCAUUUCCAUAGCAUGAACUUUCUUCAUCUCAUCUUGCAACGCUUCGACCUCCUCCGUGGUUUCCUUAAGCUUCUCCUCCAGAGAUCUCGCUAGCUCUGGAUCAUACGCCUCCCUCGCAGCCUUCAAUUUCUUCUCCGCUUCCUCUUUAGCACUCUCAUAAGAUUUCUGCAACAUUUCUUUAUCCACCGCUAUGCUCUCCUGCUCUUUGUACACUUGUUGCGUAGCGAAUUUCACUUGCUUAAUCGCUUCCUUCAUCACCGUGAUUUGCUUCGUCAGCUCGGUAACCCUCUCGGAAUGCAUUUUUGCCGAGAGCUGCGCCUCCGCCGCCUGCUGAAACGCCGCCAAUUUCACUUCCAACGCCGUGUCGAAAUCCUGCCUGAUUUUAUUCAGCUCUUGCUUCUUGGCAUCGAGUUCCGUCGCGACGGCGAUGUAUUGCUCCCUCGCUGACUCCAACUCCUUCUUCCUCACCUCGCAUUCUUGGUUGUUCUGCGGUUUCUGGAAUUCAAGUUGAGUGCCUUGUUCCCUCACCGCUUCGGUCGCUUCGAUCGCCGAUUGCUUCGACUCCGUCACCGCUUUGAGUUUCUCGGCCAAAUCCUGCAACGUUUUCUUCGCGCUUUCGAGCUCAGAUUCCGCUUUCGCCUUCGUAGCUUCGGCGCUCUCUAGCUUUUGCUUCAUGUUGUUGAACUCUUUCUCUGCUAGAAGAAGCUGCGUCUCUUUGUCUAUUACAUUCUGCAAAACAUAAAUUAUUCGUAAGUAAUCACAGCUUAAUCCUACUGAUAAUAAAUUAGGGUAUAAAUCUGAUUUUAGUCCCUAUGAAAUUUCAUCUUUCUACUUUAAUUGGUCAAAUUCUAUAAAAGAUCCCUGUUCUAUGCAUUCGUUUUGUAGGUUUAGUCCUUCUACUAUUAUUUGAUUCCAUUAAUUCCUUCAAACAAUUUGAGGUGACUUAUUUUUAACAUCCGGUGUUGUAGUGUAUGCAUAUUGGCAUAUUUUUUCAGAUGAAUAUUAUACAUUUUUCUCUUUGAUGAAAUUGAUGGAAAAGAAGAGUUAGCUUUAGAAUUAAAAUUACACAUUUUGAAAAGUAGAUGUACUAGAAUGAUCAAAUUACUGUAAAUGGACUAAAUCCGGACCUUUUAUAGAAUUUUACCAUUUUAAUUUAGCACAAUUGUCCCCUUCUAGUUUAAUAAUGUUACUAAUAGGUACAAAUUGAUAAUACUUCGGUUGUUGCCAUUAGUAAUGAUAUGAAGAUUUUCUAUAGUGUCAUUCGAUCACACGAUCAAAAUGCUUAAGGUUGUUUCUAUGUCAUAACUUUAAUGAUAAUAACUAAUGGGUUUUAUCAGUUGCAAUUAAUGGAGGGACUAAAAAUAUAAUUAAACCGCUGCAUUUUUUUUCAAAAAACAUUGGUUACCUCUGAAGAAAUUCUUGAUCUUCUGGGAGUGCGUCUUUCCUUGGUGACGGCUACUUCUCCAAAUAAACUAACGGCAGCUUUGACGGAUUGAAAUGGUGCUGUGGUAUCAAUCUCUCCUACCUCUGCCUUUGGUGAACCUGAACCAGAGGAUUUUGGGAUGCGUUCGCUGAUGGCCCGGCGGUAAAUGUUCACCAUUUUUUCUCUGUCUUCCCUCUUUUUCUUGGAAAUUUAUUCACCUGCGCAUCAUGUCAUCGUUCCAUCAAUACGUGCAUACAUACAUACAUACAUACAUACAUGCAUGUAUCACUACCAUCUACAAUCAACUGACAUUGAUGUCAAGUAAGAACUUAGCAGUUAAUAGUGAUCAUAUUCUGGUUUUGUUCCUUCUAUCAUGUUAAUCUAAAUUUAUUCUCUUCAUUAAUUUGACAUAAUUUAAUCCCCUAAUUCUAUAUGAUCAUUAAUUAUAUUUAGUUAGCAUUGAAAUAAUUAAUGGUAUUAAUUAUUUGGACCAAUAAAUUACAUUAUAAAUGAAAAAUAAUAUAGGGAAUAAAUCUUAAAUACGAGGGACCUCUAGCAGUAGAUAUCAUGGAUGAAUAUAUGCCCAGGCCCUAAAUUGGUGUAGGUGUUGCAAAGGAUGCUCAUAUUAUUCAACAAAAACCUUGUUUCUUUCUUCGUUUCUUUUUCCCCUUCAUCAGGCCGACCACAUUGGAUGCAUGUUUGUGUAUUACCAUAUGCAAAUAAUUCAUACAUACAUCCAUGCCUGCCUACAACAUCUUAAGUUAAAACUAAAUAAUGUUAUCACCACAUACAAUCAACUGACAGAAAAUGCUCACAAUUUAUGCAUACAUGCAUGCAUAAAUGAGAUGACUUGAGUGAAACAUACCAGAGGGUGCUUAGAAAAGAUAGCAAAUAGAUGCAUACAUGCUUACAUGCAUGCCUACAACCUGUAAGCUAAAACUAAAACAAUAUCAUCACCACAUACGCUCAACAUGCAUGCAUAAAUGAGAUGAUAUGAUUGAAAAUAGAUUGGAAAGGAACCUGACCGGGUGAGGAUACGUUGAAGAGGAGAAAAUGAUGAAAGAUUGGAAAAGGAAAAGAAAAAAUGGAAGCCUUGAAACUAAACUUGAAAUGGAACUUAUGGGGGGAGUGGGUAAGGAUGAAAGGAAAUGAUGCCCAAAAUGAGAGGUAGAGAGGUUUGGGGUAUUAUUUUGGAAGAGAGACCCCGAAGGUUUGCGGGAUUUGAAUGGUUAAAACUUUUGAAAAAUAAAUAAAGGUCAUUACAUGCCACCCUCAUAGCCUCCCCUACUGCCACAUACUAAACUAUGCAAUGAUAAUUUUGGUGGAAAUAAGUUGUUGACUUGCUGUUUCAAUCCUUAAAACCAAUGGAUAUUAUCAUGUAUCUUUUGUUUGACCAUUUCCAUGCAUGCAUGCAUGCGUGUAUGUAUGUGUGUAUGUAUUUAGCCUGCCAUGCUGUAACACAACUCACUUCUCUCACGUUAGUGCUUUCCGAACAAUAUUAUCAUUUAGUUGUAUAUUUGAUAUAAUGAUAAUGGAUAAUAUAGUGUUUGGAAACAUCUAUUUUUUAUGGUGUAUAGAAGGGACCCUUUUUAAAUUUAUACACAUGAAAUUUAGUCUAUUUGGUAUAUAAACUUUGAUUUACUGUAAUUAUACAUAUAAACUUUGAUUUGGUUCAAUUGUACACAUAAAAUUUUGAUCUUGAUUUAAUUGUAAACAAUUUUUAAAGAUACAUAUAUUUAUUUUCAUGUUAGGUUAAUAUAGUUAUCUGUAUAUAUAAUAUAUAAAUGUAAAAUGAUGUUACAACAAUAGCAUUGUUAGUGAUUUAUAAAAAUUAAAUCAAUUCAAAAUUUCAUGUAUAUAAUUGCACAAAAUCAAAAUCUAUGUAUCACAUUGAACAUUUAACUAAAGUUUGUAUAUAAUUUUGAUAUUUAUCCCUAUAUAGAAUCAUGCAUUAUCAAUUUAUCAAAUAUGAACAUUUUUGUCUUACCUUCUUUAUUUUUAUUUAUUUAUAAUUAAUUAAGAUUUACAUCAUUAAAGGUGCUCAUGGAUCGAAUUAGAUAAAGGUGCUCAUGGAUCGAAUUAGAUCAAGAUUAAAUUGCACAACCUAACCCAUUAAAAUAAACUUGUUUUACUAUUUAAAAAACAUAUUUUUAAGUUUAAAUAUAUAAAAAUUAAUAUAGAGCUAUUUUUAUAUUUUUUAUUAUUUUAAACGGGAUUAAAAUUUUAAAUCCUUGAUUCAAAUCCAACCCAGACAGACCACGUGGAUUAUAGAUUAAUUAAUUGGUUCGGAGAGUAAUAGAUCACUUAGGGUUGUUAGAUAAUUCAUAAUUUUAGAUGUACCAUUCUAUUAACACGGUGUUGAUUUUUUGUUGUACGAGAUAUGCUUUAAGCAUAUAAUUAAAAUAAAUCUCAAAAUUACACAAAUUUUAAUUUAAUAUACAAAAUAGCUUACAGCUUUGAGAAUUUAUCCCUUAAAUAUUGAUAUUCAAUAGAUUGAUAAAUACAGUAAAACUAUAGUCAAGCUAGCUUACUUGCAACAAAUGCAUAGCUAAGCUAAGACAGCUACAUCCAUUAUUGAUGCAUCAUCAUGCAUGGAUGUACACAAAAUUGGGAUCUAAGAUCCAACAACACGGGCAUUCAGACCUUCCAAACCAAAAUCCAGUGCUAACCAAUUCAUACAUAUUCACUCCUGCAGAACAAGCCUAAAGGUGAGAUUAAUUCGAGUCGUCUCUGCCUUUGCACGCUUAGGCACAGAGUGUAACCAGUCACGCUGAGUGUUCCCUCUCAUUACCAACAGAGAUCCGUGCUUGAGCAUGAACGAGUGUUGAUCAUCUUGGCUGCUCUUACUAGACCUCUUCAAUGGAGGUUUGUCAUCAGAUCUUCUCUCUAGCACAUUCACAACAAAAACAAACAUCAAUGGAAGUAAUAUUAAAAACCCAGUUUUCUACAAGGUUCAAGGAGGGCAAGCUUUUGCACCUUGGGAUGAUUUGCCACUUUUCUUCUUCAGGAUAAAAUCCCGUUCGCAUCCAAAGGAAACAGAAGCAAUUUCCGGGGUUGAUCCAUAGAGCUUCUCAUCAUCACUAUGCCAACCUACAUAGUCGUUACCCCCCUUUAUACCGAUUUAAAAGCAAGCUGUUAAAUGUACUGCCAGGAAGCAUUUUAUGGACCUUAAGAAGACAAGCAAAGACAUUAGAUCGUACUAGAGAAGGAACUAGGAAAACACAAGUGAGGUGAGAUGACCGCAUACUUACCGCAUCCAAAAUGUCCUCAAGUGGGGGGAAAUUAUCCCAAGAAUGAGCAUGAGGCUGAUAUCCACUGUAAAUCAAGUCCGGCAACCCUGCACUUGCAACAUAACAUGUGUCUCUAGGCUGCGUGCAUAAGGGAAUAUGCAAAUUUCAACAGGAGAAAAAGAUAACAUGAGUUGUUAGUGGAAAUCAUGCAUGUUAAAAGGUAUCAUAUUACCAACAAUCCAUGCUUAAAAGAACAUGCGUUUUCUCUAAGGCAAAUCUAUAUCGGUUUGUUUACAUACCCAUCAAUACAAAACUGAAAUGGUGAUCCUAUGCAUGUUAAAAGCUUGCAUUACCAACCAUCCAUGCUUAACAAACAUGCCUUUUUCUCAAAGGGAAAUCAAUAUCAGUUUGUUUAUGUACCCAUCACUACAACAAACUCAAAAACUGUAGCGAUCAUCAUCAAGAUAAAGAAUUGUUCAAAGUUGAAUUAGAUGAUGAUACCAAACUAACAAUUUCGAAGGCAACAUUGAGAAAAAUACAAUAAAAAGGCAAAACAGGGUCAUGCAUAACCAACACAAAAAGGGAGCCUAUACCAUUACUCUUUUACCUGCCACUACCAAACAAAGUAAAACAUUCCAAUCUAAUAAGUGAUGAAACUAAACUACCAAUGCCUGUUGAAUCGAGUAGCAAGGAAAGCCCAAUGCCCCAUAAAAUAAGGUUUUAGGUUGUGUCCUGCCUUGCCUCCUAAAAUGAAGUCCUACCCGACUCGACUUUGAAUUUAGUCAUGACCCUUGUCACUUCACAAUACCAAAGGUCAAACAACCCCCCCCCCCCAAAAAAAAAAACCAAAAUAGAACACUAAACUAAAUAGCUAAAUUCCUGAAAUGAGAUUCGACCCAACUCGACUUUGAAUUUAGCUAAGACCCUUAUGACUUCAAGAUACCAAAGGUCAGUGACCCCCACUCCCAAAUAAAACACUAAACUAAACUGAUGGUAGCUAAAUUCUCGACAUAAGGUCCGACCCGACUCGAAUCCAAAUUAUACAAUUAAAAAACGUCUCUUUCUUCAUCAAAUACGCUAUACUAGUAAUCAAGAAUUAGUGGCUAAAAGAACAUAUAAAGAAAGCUUCCCUCCACAACCCAUACAUCAAAUUUUUGAGUAAAUUACAGGGAAUUUAUAAGAACCUGAGUGCAAGAUCGGCCAAAGACGCGAAGGGUGGGUCUGGUCCAAGGGAUGUGAUUGUCGAGGUAAUUGAAGAAUUCCCAGGCGACAUCAUAUGCUAAAAACCUGGGAACGUAAAUUACACUGCUUCCGUUUCCAAGAUCGACAGUUCGGCUCUUUUUAGAGUCAUCUUUAGGGUUAGGGUUAGGGUUCGCCUUCAACAUCAAAUUCAUGGAAGUAAGCAGGUAGGCUUAAAAACAACCCGAAUCUGGUAAAAUUAAUAGCAUUUGUAAGUUUACAUUAAGAAAUUUUGUAUAAAUUCGGUAUGGGGUGAUAUGAAAAUGGAUGCAUUCAGUGAUUUUAACUUAAUUAAGCGCCGAUUCCAAAAAUCUUCCAAAUUAAGAAUGGCUCCAAUUUUCCACAAAUUAAUAAAGAUGGAUUUACCAUUACUACACGGAGUUAACCUUCAUAGAGGAGGGUGCUGCCGAUGUUGCAACCCACUGUACAUAGGGACACGUGUACGGUUGGCAUGUGGGGGUGCAAUGCAUAUGCUCGUAUAAUUAUUUGCACCUCUUAAAGACCUACCCCCGGCCCAAUAAUAAAAUGGUGGAAUUUGUUAAAAGUCCCUAUACUAUGUUUUGGUCAUUGUACUCUAAUUCGAUAAUAUUUAAUCUUUGUAUUUUUUUAAUAUUAAAAUUUUACUUCUGACCAAAUGACAAUCAAUAAAUUCAUUUUUAUUAAAUUAUGUAAUUUUCAAAAUCUUACCUCGCAAACAUAUCACAUGAGUAAUGUUAUAUAAUAUUCACACAAAAAAAUCAUCAUUUUAAUUAAUGGAUUUAACAUAAUUUGUUUUAAUUAUGAUUAAAGUUUCGAAUAUGAAAAAUAUAAGAAUUGACUUUGAUUAAAUUAGAAAACAUUAAUUGAAUCUAAAAUUUAUGCAUAAUACGAAUUUAACUUGUCACUGUUUUAAAUCAAAAUUGAAAUUAACCAAUUUAAAAUAAAAAAAUUCUAAACUAAUGAGAAAAUUUGAUCAAAAAAAGUAUUAUUACAAAAAUACUUACUUUUGAUAUUCUUGGGUUAAUUCAUCAUACAUCCUCCAAUUUUGGAAGAAAAUUAAAUUAAUCAUUAAACUUUAAAAUAUUUUAAUUAAGUCCUUAAAGUAUCAAUAUAUCUUUUGUUAGCCUGGACAUUAGCUUAGAUGUUACAAGUUCAAAUAUGACUUUAGCAUAUUUAGAAUUUGAUCGAAGUGUAGAUGUAUAUGUAGCAAUUAAAUGAAUAAAAAUAGCCCUCCAAAUUAUUGAUUAUUUUUUAAUAUGUCAAUUUAAGUUAUCCGUGCGUUAAACUUUUUAAAAAUUAUCCAUAUGAUAAGUACAUACAUUUAUAAUUUAGUCCAUACAUUUUAAAUAUGCUCUGAAUUAACAUUUAAUGUUUGACUAAGAGACAGAUGUUAUUAGGGACGAAACCAUAUAAACUUCUUUAUAAGGAGCUAUAAAGAGGGGCAAAAUGAAAUUAUGCCAUUAUAUAAGCUUACAAUAUUACAAAUUUCAAUUAAAGAUGUUAAAGUGAAAUAAAACCAGUUUAUUAUAACUUUUUAUCAUGUCUACUCUUUUUGAUAUAAUGUCUAGAAUUACUUAUAACUCGUUCUUAAUUCUUAAAUAAAAAGAUAAUACGCUUAAUUCUUAAAUAAAAGGAUAAUACGCUUCCUCGCAAUAAUAUUAAUUUCAAUUGAAAUAAGACUCGCACUCUAUAAUUUAGAAAUAGAUUCACUUUUUAUGAUAUAAUUUAGAUUGUAAGUUAUAAGAAGGUGAGAUGUACAUAACAUGAUCAUGAUUUGUUAAUCAACGCCAGAUCAUACGGAUGGCUUUGAAAGUCAGCAAUCGAAAGCUGCUUUGCAACCUCCCUCGGUCAUAAUAACGACAAUCUUUGUAUUUGAUUCUCCGCGUGUCUCUUUUCUAUUGGAUAGUUGUCGGCGCACUAAACUCCCCACCCUCCAUGCUUUAACAUAAGCUUUAACUUAUAUACCAAACCCACUAUUAAUAAUUUAUUUAAUUAAAUCUUAAUAUUUUUAUUUACCCAAAAAUUAAAUAUUAUAUUAUUAUUUAAUACAUUGCUUGUGUCUUAUUUAUUUAUUUAAUUAUUUAUAUAUUUUGAUUUAAUAUAUAGUGUGAUGCCAGUAUUUACGUUUUUAUUUUUUUAAUAUUGUAUAUGUAUUUGAUAAAAGUUAUAUAUGGUAUAUAAAGAUAAUAAUGUUAACUUUUUAGUGUUUAGUUCGAGUUUUAUAGUUAUUUUUAUGAAAAUUCAUAAUUAGCUAAUAAUAUUAACAACUAACUGUUGAUUGAGUUUUAGUUCAAUUGCCAUCACUAUUAUUGUCAGGACAGGAAGAUGUAGGUCAGAGUGUACUGAAACACAUAAUUAACUUAAAAAAAUUAAAUUAAACAUUAAAAAGUUAACAAAUUUAACUUUGUAUAUAAAAAUAUAUAAUUUUUAUCAAUUAUAUGCACUACAUCGAACCAAAUAAAUAAUAUCCUAGUUGUUUUUUAUUCUUUAAAUAUAAAUUAACUAAUUUAUAUAUACGUACAAUGCACACAUUUAAUUAUGUGUAUCAAAUAAAAAAUAUUAAAUUAUUUUAUAAUUUAAUCUCUGUGCUUUUUAUUUUAAAAUAAUAUUUGUAAAAUAAAUCUUGAUUAUUUGUGAUUUUAUUCUUUUAAAAUGAUAUAAAAGUUUUAUUAUUUAAAUUUAAUUUAGUGAAAUUUAAUUGAGUAUUGAUAUAAAUAAAUGAUAUUAAAAUAUAUACCAAAUAUUUACAAAUCAAACUGAAAGUUUUAAAAAUAUUUUAUUUCAUAUUUAGAAUUUAAUAAAAUAUUGACCACUUAAAUACCCAAGUUUAAUAUUUAUUUAAAGGGAGUAAUUAAUAUUGAAUUCAUUUAAAUGGAAAAUUGGUGAUAUACUUCAAGACUGGUUUUUAAAUAUAUAUUAUAAAUUUUGAUUUUGAUUCGAUGAUUUUAAUGAAAAAUAUGCAUUAAAUUUGAUAUAUUAAUAUUAAUGGUAAAAAAUUAUAUUUAAAACAUAAUUUAGAAAACGAGAUUUACUUAGGAAAAAACUUCAAAAUUUUUAUAUGUGCUUGAUGACGGAUUUUUAGUAAAACUUUCUAAAAUUAAAUAUUAUUUUAAAUAAGAAUUAAUUAUAAAUAUUUUAAAUAAAUAAGCUUAAAUUCACUUUAACGUAAGCUUUUAAUUUAUAUAUAUAAGACUCUCUAAGUAUCAGCCAUUCGCUCUCUUUAGUAUUAUUUUCUAACACUUUUGCAUUUGCUUCUUUCUUUUUCACACCAGAUCUGGGGAUCCAGGCUAUGGCUGAAAAGGUUCCUAAAAUCUCAUCCUUUUUCUCUUCAACAUUUAAAAUCCGAUACCCAUUUCUUUUUUUUUUAAUUUCUUUUAUUGUUUUUCAUGCUCCUCUGUUUCCAAUUUCUCUUUGUCUCUGUUAACCAGAUUUGUUAGCUAAUGCUAAUGAUUCAUGUAAAAUUUUUAUUUUGUAGGUGACGAUAAUGGUGCUGAAGGUCGACCUUCAGUGUAGUAAAUGUUACAAGAAGGUCAAGAAAGUGCUCUGUAAAUUCCCUCGUGAGUUUUCUAUUUUUGACUCUUUUUUUUCAUGGUUUUCUGCAUAUUAGUUGUAACAUUUUUAAUUAUUUGUUCAUUGAGAUUAACGGUGAGAAAUGGUGUCUGAGUUGAUUUUUCUUUUUUUUUUUUUGUGAACAAGAGAAAUACGAGACCAGAUAUACGAUGAAAAGGCUAAUACGGUGACCAUCACGGUGGUAUGCUGUAGCCCGGAGAAGAUCAGGGACAAGUUAUGUUACAAAGGUGGUGGAUCCAUCAAGAGCAUUGAGCUCAAGUCGCCGGCGAAACCCAAGGAAUCGGAGAAGAAACCCGACAAACCUAAAGAAGCCGAGAAGCCGAAAGAAGCUGAGAAGAAGCCGGAAAAACCCAAAGAAGCUGAGAAGAAGCCGGAAAAACCCAAAGAUCCUGAGAAGAAGCCGGAAAAACCCAAAGAUCCUGCUCCUGAGAAGAAGCCGGAAAAACCCAAAGAACCUGCUCCUGGGAAGAGACCGCCAAAGCCCAAAGACGGUGGUGAGACGAAACCGGAUAUACCUAGAGAGGUGGCGUCGCAGCAGAAUGUUGCGGCACCUUCUCCUUUACCGCCGAUGACGUAUGCAGUUGGGUAUACUUGCUCCGAGGGUUAUUAUAAUGGUUAUGGUGGAGGACCUAGCUAUUAUGGUGGACCACCCCAACAACCGUUCCCAUAUUACGAGACUUACGGUAGGCCUGUUUAUGACAGCUGGGGUGGCGGCGGCGGUGGCUACUACAGGUACGGCGGCCGUACCGGUGAAUGUUUUAGUGAAGAAAACCCUCAAGGUUGCUCGAUCAUGUAAAAAAACCGCGGGAAUUCGUUAUACUAUAAUGGUAAUAAUAAAUUCUCUUGUCUACUGGUGUAUGAAUCUGGGGGAGUCAUUUUGUGGAUUUUUAUUUAUUUCUAGUUUUAUUGAGUUUAUAAAAGUCGGUAAAGAUCAUUAACAAGGUUGGUGGCGUUGGUGGUGGCGGCGACAACGGCGGCGGUAGUGGUGGUGUGCUCCAGGCUUGCAAAAAGUUUGUUUACCAUAGUUUUAAAUUUUAAUAAAUAAAAAUGAUGUAUCUUUUUAUCUGUCAGAGUCUUUUGUUUUUAAUUAUAUGAAGGAAUUCAUUUGACAACAAAAUAAUCAUGGAAGGAACCUUCUCAAAUGUAAACUUAGAUUAUAAUAAUGUAGUAUGCUUAUUAAUUUUACAAUCACCAAGUCUAAAUGAAGUAUUUUUUAUUAUUUUAAUUUUCUAUUUUUGUCUUUUAAUGAGAAUUAAUAAUUUAAUUCUAUUGUUAAUUAUUGUCAUUAUAGGAAAAUGUAGAUUGGAGUGCCUAGAGUUUUAUUUAAGGGUUAAAAGAGGGAUUAUGAACCAAGAUCACCUUUGUUUUUACCCUUGUAAAGUUCAUGACUGCCUUCUUAACGAUUUCACCUCUAAAAUUUGAAAUGCAAAGAGUGUUAUAUUACACCUAACACUUAUCGAUAUUUUAAGUUAGCAUUUUAAUUUAUCAAGUAUUACUCAAUUAGAACUAACUUCAUUUUUCAAAAAUACAAGAGAGCAAGUUUUGAUAAUUAAAACACGACAAUGAACUUUUGAAUUUUUGUAAAGUAGAGGGAAAAUUUCGUAAUUAUACCUUAUCUUUAAGAAGCUUUGCAAAAUGUAUGAUAAUAAUAUAUAUAGAGACAUAGUGGUUCAAAAACAAAAAGCCAAAUCAAUUGGAUAAUAAUGGUACCAAAGCAUCCACGAGACAAUGUCACUAACGGUGGGCGCCUCCCUAUGGUUAUCCGGUCCCCAAACAGGCGGGCGAUGGCGUCAAAAUUACCAAUCUAGCGCUUAUCCUUAUAUAGAGUAGGCAACCUAGCUUAACCUAGACACUCUUAGUUUCCUCCCAUGGUUUCAAAUCUUAAUACACUCCAAACUUUAAUUAUUGAGAUAGAAAUCGAGUUUGAUUUGAAUUUUGAUUAAGUUGAUUUAAUUUUUUUUAAUUGAAUAAUAAUAAAUUUUGAUUUUUAUAUAUAUUGUUAUAAUGCAAUUGAGAAUUGUUUAGUACGAUAAUUUACACUAUAAGAAUGCGAAGAGCUACUGAAAUGGUUGCGAUUUAUAUUGUGAAAGUGUGAAAAGUCAUUGUUCUUGGUGAUUGGAGGAUGUCGAGUUAGUAUAUGUAAAGGAGAGAAUUUUGCUUAAUUUAAGAAUAUUUUUCAAAAGUGCUUUUAAGGAAAAAAAAAUACUUAUGAGAAGAAGUUAAAAUUUACAAUUUAAAAAAAAAAAAGAUUUUUUGGGUCAAUUUUUUAUUUGGAAUAAGCAUUUUUUUUUCUCAAAAAAUUAAGAAUACUUUUGUCCCAAAUUUUUUUUUUAAAAGCAAUACAAAAAUGACCUUAAAUUGGCACAGUAUAUUUAAUCAAUUUUGGUUUGAGCAGGUUCAGCAAUUUUUUUUUAUUAUAUGUUUGAUUUUGUUGGUGUAAAAUAAAUCUUAAUUAUUUGUGUUUCGGUUCUUUUAAAAUGAUAUAAAAGUUUUAUUAUUUAAAAAUAUUUAAUUUAGUGAAAUUUAAUUGAGUAUUGAUAUAAAUAAAUGAUAUUAAAAUAUAUACCAAAUAUUUACAAAUCAAACUGAAAGUUUUGAAAAUAUUUUAUUUCAUAUUUAGAAUUUAAUAAAAUAUUCACCACUGAAGUACCCAAGUUUAAUAUUUAUUUAAAGGGAGUAAUUAAUAUUGAAUUUAUUUAAAUGGAAAAUUGGUGAUAUACUUCAAGACUGGUUUCUAAAUAUAUAUUAUAAAUUUUGAUUUUGAUUCCAUGAUUUUGAUGAAAAAUAUGCAUUAAGUUUGAUAUAUUAAUAUUAAUGGCAAAAAAAUCAUAUUUAAAACAUAAUUUAGAAAACGAGAUUUACUUAGGAAAAUACUUAAAAUUUUUAUAUAUGCUUUGAUGACGGAUUUUUAGUAAAACUUUCUAAAAUUUAAUAUUAUUUUAAAUAAGAAUUAAUUAUAAACAUUUUAAAUAAAUAAGCUUAAAUUCACUUUAAGGUAAGCUUUUAAUUUAUAUAUAUAAGGGAUGGUUUGGUAAUACUUUUGAAAAGUGAUUUUCAAAAGUAUUGUAAAAAAAUAUUUUCGGAAAGUUUAGUUUAAAAUUUGAGUGUUUAACAUUGCUAUCAAAAAAUAUUUUUGAGAAAUAAAAUGUCUAUUUUAGACAUGUUAUUAUUAAAGAAUAAAUAUGUAUUUAAAUAAUAUUUAAAUUAGUUAAUAUUAUUAUAUUUUAGUAAGAAUAUAAAAAAAUUAUUAUAAUUUGUUAAUUUUUUAAUAUAUGAAAUAUAAAUUUUAAAUAUUUUUAAAUAAUAAAUAUUAAUUAUUUAUAAAAUUUAAAGAGAAUAUAUAAACUAUAUUUUAAAUAUUUAAAUAUAAUCAUUAAAUAUUUAUAAUUAAUAUUUUAAAAAAUAUUUUUUAAUUAAUAAUUUUAAUAAAUUUGUACUAAAAGAAAAAUACUAUGUUAUUAUAGUGGUGAAAAAUUAGUAAGUAAAAGUCUUUUCGGAUAGUAAAAAGUUAAAAAUUUUAACUUUUACUUUUUAGAAAAGCCAAAUAUUAUUAAGCAUUUCAGAACAGUAGCUAAGCCUAAGUAUCAGCCUUUCGCUAUCUCAGUACUAUUUUCUAACACUUUUGCAUUUGCUUCUUUCUUUUUCACACCAGAUCUGGGGAUCCAAGCUAUGGCUGAAAAGGUUCCUAAAAUCUCAUCCUUUUUCUCUUCAACAUUUAAAUCCGAUGCCCAUUUCUUUUUCUUUUUUUAAUUUCUUUUAUUGUUUUUCAUGCUCCUCUGUUUCCAAUUCCUCUUUGUCUCUGUUAACCAGAUUCGUUAGCUAAUGCUAAUAAUUCAUGUAAAGUUUUUCUUUUGUAGGUGACGAUAAUGGUGCUGAAGGUCGACCUUCAGUGCAGGAAAUGUUACAAGAAGGUCAAGAAAGUGCUCUGUAAAUUCCCUCGUGAGUUUUCUAUUUUUGACUUUUUUUUUCAUGGAUUUCUGCAUAUUAUUUGUAACAUUUUUAAUUAUUUGUUCAUUGAGUUUAACGUUGAGAAAUGGUGUCUGAGUUUAUUUUUCUUUUUUCUUUUUUUGUGAACAAGAGAAAUACGAGACCAGAUAUACGAUGAAAAGACUAAUACGGUGACCAUCAAGGUGGUAUGCUGUAGCCCGGAGAAGAUCAGGGACAAGUUAUGUUACAAAGGUGGUGGAUCCAUCAAGAGCAUUGAGCUCAAGUCGCCGGCGAAGCCCAAGGAACCGGAGAAGAAACCCGACAAACCUAAAGAAGCCGAGAAGUCGAAAGAAGCUGGGAAGAAACCGCCAAAGCCCAAAGACGGUGGUGAGACGAAACCGGAUAUACCUAGAGAGGUGGCGUCGCAGCAGAAGGUUGCGGCACCUGCUCCUUUACCGCCGAUGACGUAUGCAGUUGGGUAUAAUUGCUCCGAGGGUUAUUAUAAUGGCUAUGGUGGAGGACCUACCUAUUAUGGUGGACCACCCCAACAACCGUUCCCAUGUUACGAGACUUACGGUAGGCCUGUUUAUGACAGCUGGGGCGGCGGCGGCGGAUACUACCGGUACGGCGGCCGUACCGGUGAUUGUGUUAGUGAAGAAAACCCACAAGGUUGCUCGAUC
rnacentral:lncRNA from 1 species